UACAGAGAGAAACUAGUAGCAGCGUGCAAUAAUGAAACCUAAACAGAACAUCUAACAACAACAAUGACCUAAACAAGAAGAACAGAAAACCAAGUUCUGAGCCGAGCUCCAGCGAAACAGUGAAGGACCCGAGGAGAAGCAAGAGCGGAAUGGGGACGUAGUUGCCACGAGCAAACUGGAGAGAAAGGCGACCUCAAACCUUGAAACACACAGCGCCUACAGCUUCCAAGCCACCCACACAUCAAAACCACUGCAAAGGAAUCGCAAUCUCGGACCCGCAAGCUUAUCCAACAUCACCUAACCGGCAGCACGAGAAGGAAUCCGCAGCCGACGAUGCCGUCGUUCGGAGAGGUUAGCUGAAGAUUGCUGCCUCCAACCCACCUAACCGAGACCGUUUACACCCCUUUAACCCAAAGCCCAUAUAGAGCAAUGGGACCGGAAGGGCACACCUCCUCCGGAAUAGACAAUGUCGGACAAGGAAUUAGGCCGAUAGCCCAACUGAAACCAAGCUUCGAACAGAGAAACCGAUUCGCUCCCACUUCAGUCACUGCCACUGCAAAAUGAAAACACAAGAGAGAUAGAGCCCGCAGCGAGGAGUGCCACACCGACGAACCCACUCCGACUUCGAGGAGUAGCGACUAAUCUCACGCGCCAAGACGAACUCGACACAGCAAGAGAGCGCAACACCAACACGCACCGCCACAAGAUCCUGCUACAAGGCAAGCCAGAACCAACCCUGAACAAGACCAUACGCGCUUCCUCUGUAGACCCCAGAGGAACACGAAGAGGAGCAGAAGAAACCCAAGAUCCAUGGACCACAGGAUCCAACCCUAACAGAGCAACCGUCACGGAGGAGACGAACCCUAAGAAGAUUGUUCGAAGAUUCACGCACCGCCAGACUCGAAGAAACCCAGCCGAGAAGAAGAAAAUCUCUCUGUCAGAGAUUUCUAGGCGAGCCCGAGAAACUGAGACGACGAGGAAGAAGCCGUCCUCUAACCUCAUCACAACGCCAUACACAGCUCAGAUCUGCCAUUGAAACCGCCGGAUCUGGAACCAGAGAGGAUCCCGGCUGAGCUAAGCCUCCGCCGAGAAAGAAGGAUAGGAGAGAGGAGAGGAGAACACAGAGAUAGACGGGAGAAGCAGAGCAGAAGAGGGAAGAGAGGAGAGGCUCCGGCGACCGCCUAAAGGGACACGGCGGUCACCGGGAAACAACGAAAACCCUAGGCGGCUGAACUUUUGGUAGAGAGAAGGGAGAGGAUAAGAGAUAAGAGAGAGAAACCCUAGUUCAUGUCGUUAGCCAACAUAUUAUAUGUGUUAUCUGUAUAAAUAGAUAUUUUAUUCUUUAUAGCCAAAACUUCAAUAGUGGUGUUGGGCUCAUACUGACCACUCUUUUUUACGCUUAGCUUCUGAUAAUCAAUUGUUCUGGAUCUUUAUAGGUCUCGAGUUCACGUGCCUACUAGACAGACUCAUGCGAUAAUAUACAGCUUCAGAUACAUUUUUUUGGUUUGUAACGCACUGAAAUUUUCAGCAUUAGUUUGUAAAAAACUGUAAUUAGUCGUAGUAAACUACUGUGAAACGUUUAAGAAAUUGUAAUUAACACUUUUCCAAUAAACAAAAAAAAAACUGAAUUAAGGCCCCUAAUUUAAGAGGUCUAUAUUGAAACGUCUGUUUCUAAAAUGUAACAGACACGUGUGGCACGUUUGGAGCGGCAGCUCCAGGGGCAUAUGCCGAGUCUGAGAUACUCACUUCUGCAUGACCCUACUUAACCGGUGGUCAAACUUAUAACUUAACCAUGGUUAACUUAUAACAUCCGUCGAGAUCUUUCCACGUGUAUCAAUCUCGUGGCCACAAUCCUUUUCUCUCUCGCCGCUUCCCUUCCUUUUAGCCGCUUAUAAAAACACACCGCAAGAUCCUCAUUUCAUCCACGACUGAUCCAACACCAUUCCUUCAAAGCUCUCUCAUACCAAUCAAAACGAUGGCGUUUCCUAAAGUUUUCUUCGACAUGACCGUUGACGGCAAGCCCGCGGGAAGGAUCGUGAUGGAGCUGUACACCGACAAGACUCCCAAGACUGCCGAGAAUUUCAGAGCUCUCUGCACGGGUGAGAAGGGUGUCGGAAGCAAAGGCAAGCCUCUUCACUUCAAGGGAUCUUCCUUCCACCGUGUGAUCCCUAACUUCAUGUGCCAGGGAGGCGAUUUCACGGCCGGGAACGGGACGGGAGGCGAGUCCAUCUACGGUGAGAAGUUCGCUGACGAGAAUUUCGAGAGGAAGCACACCGGUCCUGGGAUCCUCUCUAUGGCCAACGCUGGUCCAAACACCAACGGGUCUCAGUUCUUUAUCUGCACUGUUAAGACCGAUUGGCUUGAUGGCAAGCACGUGGUGUUCGGACAGGUGGUGGAAGGGUUGGACGUGGUGAAGGCGAUUGAGAAGGUGGGGUCGGCUUCUGGAAAGCCGUCGAAGCCGGUGGUUGUGGCUGACUGUGGUCAGCUCUCUUAGAUCACAUGAGUUCUGUCCUCGGUUCAAAUUAGCGUUAUCGUCGUCGUCUAGUGAGUGGUGUUGGUCCUCCUCGUCGUGUGUCUCUCCUAUGCUUUUGCUUUUGUGUUACUUUUCAUUUGGUGUAAUCAUAAAAGCUUGGUGUGUGUUCGUUCUCAUGUCACCCUAAUUAGUAGCUAGUUCCAUAAAUAAUGAAUGAGCUUGUGUUUGUUUAUCCUUUUAAUCUUUGCUUGAAUUUACGAACGGAAUCAAAAGUAUAAAUGCCUCAACAACCAAAAUAAAAUAAAAAAUAGUGCACUGAAUCUUCAUCUGUAAUUUUUGUGUAAUGCACUUUCCCUGUGAGUUCACCGGUCAGUUGCAUUGAAUUUCGUUGGACACUUUAUUGCUGGGAUUAACACAAUAACACUGAUUAUAGUUAUCAGGUCCUAGUUGAGAGAGAAAAGAGAAAGGGAAUAACGAAACCCUAGUAAGCCGCCAUCAACUCGAGCUCGGAGGAGGGGUGGAAUCUGGUGAUUCGUCGCCGUGAGAGACUUCUCCUCCUCCUAUUCUUGUUAUUAUGUUGUAUGUUUCUCUGUUACUCUCCUUUAGUUUUCUUCUUUUUUGUACGACGUCAAAAUGCGAGCUACUCCGGAUUUUAAUGGAUUCUCUUGUGGAUCUACAACGGUGAGACACUGUCUGUCAAAUUGCUGGAGUAGCAGCGAGAUGCUGCAAGGAGUCGGAAGGGAAGGGCUCUAUAUGAGAGUAAUUUCGAUCUGGUGAUUUGUGUCUUGUUUUAUGCUUAUAUGUCACUUACUCUCUCCUGCGUUUUAGAUCCUCCUUGUUCCGGGGUUGAUUAGUUCUUUGACCUGGAGACGAGUGGAAGCGUGUGGAAAGCAUCUCUUUCGUGUGGUGGUGUUGAAUCGUUGGGUCUUAAAGGUUCAGAUGUGCUCUGGAUAGUUUUCGUCCGUUGUUGAACAGACUUCUUUGCUAACUCUUGGACCUGCGUUUCUUUCCAUACGGUGAUUUGAAGUUAUUGGGUUAGAUGCUCCUCUCCAUCUUGGCUCCUCUCCUUUGCUUUGUCUACUUAUCCACUCAACGGAGAGGAUGUAUUCUCUGAAUCCUUGGUUGGCUUAUAGAUUACUCGCUCUAGUCUUUUUCUACAUUGGAAUUGGUACGGCGGUGGCGUUUUAGCGAGUCCGUGAGCAGAACAGGUUUAGCAUCUUUGUUGUGAAGAUGUUGGUUGGUGUCACCUCUCUAUUUCCAGAUGGAGUCCUCGCUGCAGCUUAUAAUAAGUGUUCGUCUUAUCCUGGUUGGUUCGCUGAUAUCUUAAUUCCUCGGUGGCUUCUUCUUGAAUGUUUGAAGCAGUAUAAUGAGGUUGAGGUCUUGGUUCAAUCGGAGGAAGUUGCGGUUUCGUAGGAGGUUUGGUCCCAGGUGUUUCGGUUCUUGGACCCAUGUUUCGGGGUUGGUUUGUGUGGGGUGCUAUUCGGCGUGGUUCUGACUUUUCAUCGUGGACAGGAGGUUCAGGUGUUUUUAGGUUCUGUUAAGUCAUCGCCGCUUGUCCGCUUGGUUGACUGUGGUCUCUUGUUAGACUUCUGGUUGUUUUAGACUUUGACUAUGCUAUCUAUGGUUUUGAUAAAGAAUUGUAGGAAGAUCUAGUUGUAGGAAGUUGCUUUUGUCUUAAGUUAUGUUUCAGUGUAGUCUUUGGUGUCUUUGUAUGGCUUUUAGUGUCUUUCCUGUGGAUUGUUGUUUCUGGGGAUAUCAACAUCUUCCGCCGGCUCUGAUUGUAUUCCACCGAAUGUUUGAUAUAAAUCAAUUGACGAAAAAAAAAAGUUAUCAGGUCCUAGUUAUCACUAGUGAUAGCGCUUCAAUAAAAAUGACUAAACAACUCUAUUAAUAUCAUGUAACUAAGCAAUUUUGGUCAUGUGAUACCACUAAAGAAAGCAAAAAAGUGAGAAAGCCAAUCAAUCAUGUCGGUUGAUUUUUUUUUAGGUAUACAAGAAACUAAAAAACAUUUAUUAAUCAUAGAAGCUAAAUGUAAUGGGCCUUGCAUAAGGCUGUCUGGCCCAUCAAUUCCGGUCGCAAACUUAUUUUCAAAUCCAAUUGGAGAAAACAUCAAAAUUACUAAUUUACUAGUGUGAUUUUGAAAUUUCAUAUGAAUAAGAAAAUGUAAUAAUACUCAUCUGUGAUUUAUUAUUACUUGAUUAAUUAUUUUAGUCGAAAUCAUAUCAAAAUUCAGAGGAGACAUAUUUUCUAAAACUAGGUGAACGUGAUUUCAUUAGUCUACUAUGCACAAAACUAGAAAAUCAAUGUGAGGAGGCCAAAUCUAUACGCGUGUGUGACACUUUCUCUUUUCAAAUUCCACACUUUUUUAUUAUUUUUAAAUCUAAUCUCGCUUAUUCUUAUGAAAUUUAAAAUAUAAAAAGUAAAAUUUUUUUUUAAACACUGAUUAUAUUAUCAACAGAAGAUUACAAGGGUGGGAUUCAGUUUUGCAACACUUUGGCCGGCAGGUUCAACAGACCUCCGGAAACAGAAGCUCCAACGAUGGAGAGACUAAAAUACAAACAUAUGAUGACCAAAGAAACAGAACAUGAAACAAUCUAAGCUAGAAGAAUUGGAUAACAACUUAAAAUACACCUUCACCAAAACGAGAUCAAUAAUACAUGAUGACUUGAACAGAGCUUCUUUGAACAAGGCAAAGCGAGGAAGCCUUCCAUGGCUACAACCUCCGGUCUGCGAAUCCUCCUAUGAUGAAUAGCACAUGCAGAUGAAAGAACAAAGCUUCAAGCUCCAGGAGACAGAACACGUCAUGUUCAUAGUCUUCAACCGGAAGUCACUGGAUGGAUGAGUUGAAUCGACAAGCCAAAGAAGCUAGACAGAAGAUAAGAUCUCGAUCGAAUCUCUAAGGGAAUUGACAAGGAGUGAAACAACUCAUAACCAGGAACAACCUUGCUCGAGAGACCGAGAAGGUCAAAGAUCGAGACCUGGUAUGAGCCAAAGAAAGCUCAAAAUCAACAUGCAAAUCAAUCAAACACACAUAAGUUCCAAGAUAGAACCAAAACUGAAGGGGACAAGGAUAUAACCACUUCUAACAGAGAGAUCGACAAAAUAGAUCAAACGAAAACCCUCAUUCUCUCCGGAAAAAGAUCAGAUUAGAGAUUUGAAAAUGACCUGUCGAGAGAAACGAGAAUAAUGUACAGAUCUAACCGAAGAAAAAGAAAGGAAAAGAAAAGAAAAAGACCGGCCUCGGCUCUGUGGAAGCAACCGGAGCCGGCGAACCGGAAAAAGCAAGAGGAGAUUCUAGAGAGAAGAUAGAGGGUUUAGAAAGAGUCAUAAAAAGUAAAUUAUUACAUAGACAUACAUGCGUGAUACAACCAUUUUGUCAUGGAGUUGCCAGCAAAACAAAAAGAAAAACUAUAUUUUCUAUUCUAAUAAGCAGUGCUUAAUUAAUUAAAUAAAUAAAUGAGAGCACGAAGAUGCCAGAUAGGCAGUUUGGACUUUGGAGUAGUCCGCAGAACAUUUGAAAAAAGAAUCAGGAAAGGUAAUAUUCGGACAAGGCGACGAAUUUGAACCAAUGAGCUGUCGUCGCGUCUCUCUCGAGCAGAGAGGGAGGGGAGAAAAAAGCCAUUUACAAAAAGUGUUUGGUCUUUGAAUCUUUCUCUUUCUCUCUCUAUCUCCCAUUUUUUGAAUUUUAGGUUGUGAUUCUCGUUCCUCGUCCUUUUUUCUCUUCCCUGCAUCCUUUCCCUUCCUCUUCAAAGCAAAUUCUUUAUGCUGUUGAUCAAAACAAUCCGAUAACGACCAACGGGGACAGAGCUUGAUCCGAUUUGACUUUGUUUCCGUAGAAAUUAGGCAAAGAGAGAAGCAAUAGAGAGAGAAUUAGAAAAAAAUGGUGUCGGACAAUGAGAAGGGAUUGGUAUUAGCUGUGGCGUCGAGCGUAUUCAUAGGUUCGAGCUUCAUUUUGAAGAAGAAAGGUCUCAAGCGUGCUGCUGCUAAUGGCACCCGAGCUGGUUCGUCCCCGUCCUCCCUUUGUUAUUACAUUUUAUAUGAUGAUGCUGAAUUAGUAGAUUUGAUUUCAAAAAUAAAUAAAAAAAGCUUCUAUUCAAUUUUUGAACUACCCUUCUGCUCAAUUUAAGGUUUUGCUGUCUGAUUUGUAUUAUCAAACCGAUUUUGAAAUCAUUCUCUAAUAUACAGAUCAUAUCUUGUACUUUUAGUACGUCUGCCAACAGUUUGCGAAUAGGUUCUACACAUAUCUACUAUUAAUUGUUUGAGAAUUGUAUGCCUUUGCUUCUUGAUGAUGAUGCAGGGAUUGGAGGUUAUACCUAUUUGUUAGAGCCACUUUGGUGGGUUGGCUUGGUUACAAGUGAGUAUUGCCCCCCAUUUUGCUCGUCUUUCUUUUUCUCAAUCAUUCUUAGUUUUAAUUAGAUACAAAUUUCUGAAUGUGGAUUUCAGUGACUUUUGGAGAAAUUGCAAACUUUGUAGCUUACGUUUAUGCCCCCGCUGUACUAGUCACCCCUCUCGGUGCACUAAGUAUAAUCAUCAGGUUUGUUAUUCCUAUGACUAUUUCUUUCUGAUGAUCAUUAUCUGAAACGUACUUCUUCGCUUGUCUUUACUAACCCCUCCUCUGAUUACUAGUGCUGUUUUGGCACACUUCCUGUUAAACGAGAAACUCAAGAAAAUGGGAGUGUGGGGUUGUGUUUGCUGCAUCGUAGGCUCGGUUAUGAUCGUCAUACACGCACCUCAGGAGCAGACUCCCAACUCUGUUCAAGCAAUCUGGAAACUAGCUAUGCAACCAGGUUGCGCGCUCUUUCUCUUACACACACAUUGUGUGUUUACCUGGGGGAAUAUAACUUGGUUCCUUUUUUUUUUUAUGAAACAGCUUUUCUAAUUUACGUAGCCGCGUCAAUGUCCAUUGUCCUGGCUUUGAUUCUUUACUGCGAACCUCUCUGCGGCCAAACGAACGUUCUUGUUUAUAUCGGAAUUUGUUCAUUGAUGGGUUCUCUCACAGUAAGUUUUGAUGAUGAAUCAAAGCAUAUUUGAGCUCUAUUUUAUAAUUUUAUCUUUGUCUAAAGUUGUGUUUCUGUUUAAGUAGGUUAUGAGCAUAAAGGCUGUGGGGAUCGCAGUAAAGCUAACACUGGAGGGAAUAAACCAGGUUUGGUAUCCGGAGACUUGGUUCUUUGUCAUGGUUGCAGCUAUAUGUGUUGUUACGCAAAUGAUAUACCUAAACAAGGUUAGAAUGGAACUUCUUGUUGUAUCUGUGUGGUGUAGUGUUGUGCACUUUGGCCUUUGCUUAAUACUAGCAUGUUUGUUUUUGUUUUGGCCAGGCGCUGGACACUUUCAACGCAGCAAUAGUUUCUCCAAUCUAUUAUGUGAUGUUCACAACCCUCACAAUUGUUGCUAGUGCUAUUAUGUUCAAGGUAGAUAGAUUGAUAACAUAAGUAAAUAUUUUUAGAGCAAAGAUAAAUAUGAGUUUAUGUACAGGACUGGUAUGGGCAAGACACAGAGAGCAUAGCAUCUGAGAUAUGUGGAUUCAUCACAGUGCUAACCGGGACAGUUAUACUGCAUGCCACUAGAGAAGAGGAACAAGCUUCUUUAAGAACAAUGAGAUGGCAGGAAUCAGGGAAGAGCUUUAACGAAGAGCAUCUCCUAAGUUUGUACCGUUCUACUGAGUAUCAGGAAAGUAAAACCCCUCUUUGUUGAAUUGAACGAGGAGGUUGGUGUCCGAAUCAGAAGAUGAUCAUCAGUCAAAUGGCAUAUCCUCAUCUUAUCUCUCUAGUGGAGGAAGAAUGUAACUUUUGUGUAUACUUUAUAGUUAUGUAAUAGAAUUUUGAGAUUUCUCUAUGCAAUACAUGGAGUUUCCAGAGAAAAUUUAUCCAUUCAUAUUCUAUUUUUAUAUAUAAUUUUGUGACAAAUAAUAUAAGAAAAAAAUUUCCCUGCUACACAAAAUUUACACUAAUACGGUGGAAAUCAUCCAAUGUAUGAGAAUGUGUUAACUAAACAAAGUUUAUGUUAAUACAGUUAACACAUUCCACAUGUACAUGAUUAUAUGGUGGAAACAUCAUAAUUGAGUUUAAUUGAUUUUAAAUUAAAUUAAUGGAAUCAAUCCGUAAUAUUCAUAGGAAAAUUAAUUCUGAUUUACUAAGUCCGAUCUAACCCAACUCAUGUAUCCAACCAAGUUGUAGAUUUAUGUCUCUUGUUUGGAUCUCCAAUUUUUGAAAUUAAAAUUUAAAUCAAUUUCAAACAGAAAGAGAAAAAUAGAAUUGGGUGGAGGAUCCAACAUUAAGUGAAGGCAAUGUGCUUUGUCACUCUCUUUCUUCGAUUCAACGAUUCCGAUUUCUCAGUGAUUCGUUUACAUCAUUCUGGUCUAUCUACUCAAAAGUUCGCAGUCGAUUCUCACUCUGUCUCUAGUGGCGACUCUUUCCUUUUCUCUCAAUCUCUUACAUUUGUUUCUCCCAAAUCGAUUUAUGUUAUGAACCCUAAAGUUUUCAAUUGGGACAUUUGUGUUAAGAGAAAUUAAGAAAUCGGUUUUUAAUAACUUGGGUCGAAUUUAGUUAAAUUGGGGUUAAGUUUAAUUAAUUACGAAUUGAUUCUAUUAACUUUGUUAAAAUCAAUUAAACUCAAUUGUGAUAUUCCCAUCGUAUAAUCAUUUACUUCGUACAUAUGACAUGUAUUAACAUAAAUUUUGUGUAGUUAUUAACACAAUCUCGUAUAGUUUCCACCAUGUUAGAGUAAAUUUAGUGUAGUUAAGAAAAUUUUUCUAAUAAUAUAUAAAAUAUAUAUAGAUAUACUGAAUGUUAUUUUUUCUACAUAUUUUGAAUGAGAUAAACAUAAUUAUAAUGAUGAAAUUGGAAAUUUCUGUUUAAAUUUAACAAUAUUUUAAAAAAUAUAUUUUCUUCACCUUGCAGGAAAAGGAAAACAAUUGCAAAUAUUCUAAAUUAAACAUAUUUUAUUUGCCUUGCUCAAUAUUAGAUAAAUUAACAACCGUCGGAUCAAAAAAAUAAAUCUCCACAUAAAAGGAUCCGUGAUUCUGAGGGUUUCUUACGAAAACAAAGACAACCUUUCAUUCAUUCACACAAAGCAAAAAAAAAAGAAGAAGAGAAACAUGGCGGCUGCUGUAUCAUCCGUUUGGGCAAAGCCCGGUGCUUGGGCUCUCGAAGCCGAAGAGCAAGACGCCGAGCUCCAGCAACAACACCAAUCAUCCCUCGCCUCUAAUCAAACCGCCCCCUCCUCCGAUUUCCCCUCCUUAGCCGCCGCCGCCACCACCAAAACCAAGAAGAAGAAGGGCCAAACCUUAUCCCUCGCCGAAUUCUCCACCUACAAGGCUGCAACCGCUCCUCCUCAGACGGAGCGCCUCACUCAGGCCGAGCUCGUCUCCCUCCCCACGGGCCCACGCGAGCGCUCCGCCGAGGAGCUCGAGAGAUCUAAGGGCUUCCGGAGCUACGGACCUAGGGAGGACUCCACCUCCAGGUGGGGCUCCUCUAGGGCUUCCGAGGACGGUGAGAGGAGAGGAGGCGGUGGAUUCGGCAGAGACAGGGAGUCUAUGGGCCCUUCCCGGGCCGAUGAGACUGAUGAUUGGGCCGCUGGGAAGAAGGCCUUUGGUGGGCGAGGCCCAAGCGAUGUGUUCGAGAGGAGAGACCGAGGCCCAGGUGGAGGAUUCUUCGAUUCUCAGUCUAAGGCUGAUGAAGUCGAUAGCUGGGUCUCCUCUAAGCCCAGAUUCGUUCCUUCUAGCAACAACGGCGGCGGCGGAGGCGGCGGUGAUAGAUUCGAGAAGCGAGGGAGUUUCGAGUCCUUGUCUAGAACCCGCGAUUCUCAAUUCGGCGGCGGAUCUGAAUCCGACACAUGGGGGAGGAGAAGAGAGGAGAGCGGCGCGCCACCGGCUUCCGGCGGUGGUGGUGGUGGUAGCUCACGGCCGAGAUUGGUGUUGCAGCCGCGGACGCUUCCUGUGGCUGCUCCCGUUGUUGUGGAUGUGAAGCCGGAGAGCCCGGUGGCUGUAGAGAGACCUGUCAUUGUGGAGAGACCUAAAGGUGCGAAUCCGUUUGGGAACGCGAGGCCUAGGGAGGAGGUUUUGGCUGAGAAGGGACAGGACUGGAAGGAGAUUGAUGAGAAGCUCGAGGCUGUUAAGUUGAAGGAGGUUGCAGAGAAGCCUGAUGAGGGGAAGAUGGGGUUUGGUCUUGGUAAUGGUCGUAAGGACGAUCGUACUGACGGAAGUUGGAGGAAAAGGUCUCUUCUUUGACUAGAUAAUAACCUUUUGGUUGAUUCAUUGCUUGCCUGCUUAUAUACUUUGCUUAUGGUCUCUUAGUUCAUAUAUGAGAGAGAUGGAUUCAUAGAUGCACUAGGGUUAUGGAUCACUGCAUUGUUUGUUUUACUAGUUACUUGAGAGAAUAGUCUCUUGAUAUAUCAUUAAUGCAUUCAUAGUUGAAAGCACAUUGAAGUUGAAGAAGUCUAGUGAUACUUUUUCUUGGCUUAAAAAUUGAAUCCUUCUUUCUGUAUUUUUUAAAUAUGGCAUUCCUUAUGUGAGAUCUGUCUUUAUUUUUCUGCAUGAUUCUUACACUGGAUUGUUUUGUCUGUUUUGAACAUUAAAGCUCUGAGCAAACUGAGGAAACACCAGCUGUAGAAGAGGCUAACAAGGAAGAACCUGCCAAGGAAGAGGCUGGCAAGAAAGAGGCUGAGGACGAAAACUAAAUGAGCAUUUUGGGAGUGCGAGGAGUUCAUGAGGGUUUUUAGCUUCUGAGAAUUUGUGUUGUUUUAAGUUGUCUGUUUAACUCUAUAGAAAUUUUUUGGUAGGGGACUCCUUAUAAUUUAUGUCUUUUGUUUGCAUACAGUCUUGCAAUUUUUAGGGAUUGUGGGUGUCUUUCUAUGAUUUUGCACAAUUUGUUAUUCGUAUUAUUGUCUCCUUUUUUUCUGAUUUGUGAGCUGUUUCGUUGGACGAGUGGUAAGUUGUAUUUGUUUGUUGUUGAACGUUGAUCCACUGUUUCAGAGAGAUGUGAUGAACAGAGCUUUAGAGGAUUCCUUAUAUAGUCCACGGCACUAGACAUAAUCGAAUAGGUAGAACUGUAUGAGUUUAAAGCUCUAGGAUCAUAUUUAAACUGAACUUGUCUUAAUCCCAAUCCAAAAUGAAAACUCAAUCUAUAAAGUGAACUAAAUUUGCAAGCGGAUAUAACAAAUAGGUUCAUGUGUUUAUUGAAGUAUUUAGUUAACCAAUGUAUGUUACAAAAAAAAAAAAAAAAAAAAAAAGUUAACCAAUGUACCUCAGAAUGUUUGGUAAAUUAUGCUCUUAAUCUUUAAUUUCAAUAAUUCUAUUCCCUAAAACUAUAAACAAGUGCCUAAGACCAUCCUCUAUAAUAGAGGUGGGUUUUACUCCAAUGUAUUUCUCUAAAAUAGAGAUCUCUACAUAUAGAGCAAAAUAUAGAGGAAUGCUAUUUCUUCCUCUAUAAAUAGAGGAAAAAAUAGCAAUCUCUAUUUUAGAGGCAAAAAUAGAGAUGGAUUGGAGUAGUUUUGCCUCUAAAUGCGAUUAUAGAGGUGGAAAUAGAGGUGGGUUGGAGAUGCUCUAAUGUAUUCUGAAGCUGUGCUUCUUUUGUUUUAUUUUCAUACACCAGCCUGUAUGUAUCGUGGUGUUUGAGAUAUAAGAACACAUGGUAGGCCCUGUGUAUGAUUGUUUUCUCUACGGAUCAUAUAUGUUCUACUUUUAUCCAAUUGUUUAAAUUCGUAAGGAAAACUAUAUCACAAAUGAAUAAAAACUGAACAUGUGUCUUGUAUAUGCAUCAUAACGAAUGGAAAAAUAAUAAAGAAUCACGUUCUAUUAGUAUCUUUCACGUCGAGGAGAGCCAGCUCAUUGAAAGUGACCCAAAAAAAACUGAAAUGUAAACAGCGAACACACAAUGACACAAAUGGAGAUGGACCUACCAAACAUCAAUUACAGCCCAACCACUCUUUGAAUAUAGAGAUAUUCAUAUCUCCACUAAUCGAUCAUUUCACAUAAAUUCACAAUACUUGAUUAUUCAAAAGAAAAUGUAGAAGAAAAUUAUAUUAUAGUAAAACUGUAACUGUAAGUUUACAUAACGCAACCUUUUUUUAAUAAAACGGUGUUUUUUCGUGAUAAAGUACCGUCCCUGUGAAAAGAUAAAACGAAUAUUGAGCAACUUUUACGUACCAAUAAUAAUGGAAACCAGAACAAAAGCAUAACAAUAACCAAAAAAACAAAUUAAAACAACUUCUGUUUUGUUUACUUAAACUAUUUAUAAAGGCAUCGAGCCAACAUUGUAACCACUACUCAUCACAAGAGACAGAGAGAGAGCAAAGCCUCACCGUCACCAAUGGGGACUCACCUUUCGAAACAGCUCGAGCGUCGCAAAGCCAUCUCCACCGAGAAAAAAGCCCUCGCCGAUCUCCAGCAAUCCUGCGGCUGCGAGUUUCCCGGCUGCGACUACACCCCCUCCGAUCGCAAAACCUGGAUGGCCGGCGUUGGACCCGACAAGCUCCACAUCAACAAGAUCGUCUGGCCAGGGACUCACGACUCCGCCACCAACAAGAUCGGGAUCCGCUUCGUCUCCCGCCCCUUCGCUCAGUGCCAGUCUCUCUCCAUCUACAACCAGCUCGUCGCCGGCACUCGAGUCCUCGACAUCCGCGUCCAAGAAGACCGCCGUGUGUGCCACGGUAUCCUCAAAACCUACAGCGUCGACGUCGUUUUAACCGACCUCAAACGGUUUCUCUCGGAAACCGAAUCAGAGAUCGUCAUCCUCGAGAUCAGAACGGAGUUCGGACACGAGGAUCCCCCGGAGUUCGAUAAGUACCUCGUGGAGCAGCUCGGCGACCACCUGAUCCACCAGGACGAUGGCGUGUUCGGCAAGACUGUCGCCGAGCUGCUCCCAAAGAGGGUGAUAUGCGUUUGGAAACCGAGGAAGUCGCCUCAGCCUAAGCGCGGGGAUCCGCUGUGGAGCGCGGGGUACUUGAAAGACAACUGGAUCGAUACCGAUCUUCCUUCGACGAAAUUCGAGAGCAACUUGAAGCAUUUGAGCCAGCAGCAGCCGGCUGCUUCGAGGAAGUUUUUCUACAGGGUGGAGAACACUGUCACUCCGCAGCCUGAUAACCCGAUAUUGUGUGUUAAACCGGUCACUAACCGGAUUCAUUGUUACGCCAAGGUGUUUAUUAUUGAGUGUGUGAAGAGAGGAUGUGCUGACAAGCUGCAGAUAUUUUCGACGGAUUUUAUUGAUAAGGAUUUUGUUGAUGCUUGCGUUGGCCUCACUUUUGCAAGAGCUGAGGGGAAGGCUUGAGUGUUUAUAUAUGAGUGGAAUUCGAGUAGAGACAUUGUUUGUAUAUUUGUUUUAUAGAAAAAAGAAUCAGAGCACAUGGCUGGUGUUAGGGGUUCCUUGUGUAUUAAUCAAGUCGUUUAUUUGUAUGGAAACAUGUCAGUGUGUGUGUGUGUGUAUUUGAAUUGAGGCUGUAUAUUCAUCAUAUUCAUUACUGAAUGCAGUUAUGUACAUUCUGGAGAUACUAGUAAAAAUUUGUGUUUCUUUUUCUUUAUGCAAGUACAAAAUAGAAAUGCAGUGAGAUUGAUCAUUCUGACUGAAGCCAGAGAACCACCAAAAUAAAUAUCAGAAACGAAUGACCGGAGAUCACUGAAGGCGACAGUUAAUGCAGCGAGCAAAUGAGAUUCAGUUGAAGACAUGACAGAAUGACACAAGUCUUGAAGAAACAAUUUGGGCUAGGAGAGAGAGGACUAACACGGAGCAUCACAGCUCUUCAAGAAUUACAAGUCUUGAACAAUCAAUGGGAGGAGGAGGUGCAUAAGGGCUGUAGUUGGGAGCUAUCUCAAUGAGUGUCGAGGGUAAUAGAAGAUCCACCAUGAGUGCUUGUGUCACACCCCCUGAAAAUAUUCAUUAGUUUAUUAUUAUAGGUACCAAGAGGCAUGUCAGUGGCAAGCAAUGCAUCUUGAUCUUGAACUUUAUGAUUCAACAAAUAUGCUCAGAAGUCAGUCAAAAAUAAUUAAUCCCGUCUUAUUUAGUGGACCAUCACAAAAUAAAUGUGCUUUACAUAUAAGUUGUGUGCAAGUCUCAUCAUUAGCAUUCUCAUUUUUCUUGCCUUUUUAUUUGCUUAACCCUACCGGUCCCUACGUCUGCAAAGACAAAAUAAAGCAUGGGACGCGGGGCCAACUUUCCACCUUAUAAUGGGCCGAAUCUCAAGCACAAUGGAGCUUAUGGGCUAUUUCACACGAAAAUGGAGGAUUAGGGGUGGAACCCUUCACUCCUGAAAAGGCAAAAGCAAACCCACUUGCCGCCAAAUAGCUCUUCUGCUUCUAGCUAAUCAAAUGAAUUACACAACACAGCAUUUUACUCAAACGAGCAAAGACAUUAUUAAUAGGCAGAAAACAUUACAUAUCCGAUACCAUUUGGCCCACUCUAAAACGUUUUUUAGUUUGUUUAAUCCUACUGGAUUUUUUAAAAUAAUUGCAGAAGAUAUAAUUUGUCAGGUUUCAGGCAUAGAGCCCAGUAAACACACACCACAACAAAUCUAGGGAAAAAUAAAAUAAAUAUAAAGAACAAAACCCAUACCAAGUGACUUCCCAGUCUUUCUCAGCUCUCUCUCUCUCUUCCACAACAACAAAGAUCUUCACUUUUCACUAGAUCCUACCAAGACUCCAAGAGUAGUGAGACUAAGAAACUGUAAUGGAUCUUUCUUCUCUUCGCGGCUCUUCCUCUCUGACACUGAGCUUCAUAGUUCUGCUCUUGGCUUCCACAGGUAAAAUCAGUUCUUCAUUCUCUCACUCACUUACUGUCUCAACUCAGUUUCAAAGUUUUUCUUUUCUUUCUCUCUGUCUUAUUUGUUUUUCUUUAACAUAUACUAUUAGGUUCUUAUGGUUCAACCUUCACAUUUGCUAACCGGUGCGGCUUCACCGUCUGGCCUGGAAUCCUAGCCAAUGCGGGCUCUCCUACUCUCUCCACCACCGGUUUUGAGCUCCCUAAGGGCACCUCACGCUCUCUCCAAGCCCCAACCGGUUGGUCCGGUCGUUUCUGGGCUCGUACCGGUUGCAGCUUCGACGGUUCCGGCUCCGGUACCUGCAAAACCGGUGACUGCGGCUCAAACCAAGUCGAAUGCGUCGGACUCGGCGCCGCGCCGCCUGUAACUCUCGCCGAGUUCACUCUAGGCACCGGCGGCGACGUCUUUUACGACGUCAGCCUCGUCGACGGUUACAACCUUCCGAUGAUCGUUGAAGUCGCCGGUGGAUCUGGGCAGUGUGCUUCCACCGGCUGCACUUCCGACCUUAACCUUCAGUGCCCCGCUGAGCUGCGCUCCGGCGACGGUGACGCGUGUAAAAGCGCGUGCGAGGCGUUUCGGAGUCCUGAGUACUGUUGCAGCGGCGCGUACGCUACACCUUCCACUUGUAGGCCUUCGGUUUACUCGGAGAUGUUCAAAGCUGCGUGUCCUCGCUCCUAUAGCUACGCUUACGAUGAUGCUACGAGCACUUUCACUUGCGCCGGUGGUGAUUAUACGGUGACGUUUUGCCCUUCAUCACCUAGGUAAGUGCCCUCGAUUUUCUCAUAUUUAUAAUUAUUUUUCUCUGUUUUCCACAAUUUGUGGGUUUUGUUUUUUGAAAAAAUUGAAAGUUUUGUCUGUUUAAUGAGGUUUCGUAAUAAUUAAAGAGAAAUUGUACUCCUUACACACCAUUUUUCCCCUAUUUACACUCCAUACCCUAUAUCCCUCCAAUUUUUUUCCCCCAACAUUACCAUUUUCCCCCCAUUCAAUGAUAUCCCACCUUUGUUAGUAUAUUUAGCUAAUUUACUCAUAAUUAAACUUAGGAUAUACUUUAAUGAAUGAUUUUGGGUGCAUGUUUUUUCCUUUUUUAACGCAAAAGCUGAAGUUUGUUUCUCUUCUUUUCAUAAACCACCGUUUGUAAAGGCAGAAAGAUUCUCUUUGUUUGGUAAUAACGAUGGAUUUUCACGAGAAAGUUUAUAGCAAAUGUUGCAGAAAAUUCCAAACCUGUUUGAAAAUGCAAGUUGCAAUAUCUGAAAAUUACAGUUGUAUUGAUUAGUGUUGGUUUUUUCCGUUUCAUUGUAAGCAGUCAGAAAUCAACAAGCUACCCCACACCGGUACAAGACUCGUCGGCGACCUCACAAGGUUCGGACCCCGUGCCCGGUUCGGAUACAGGUUACUCGGGUCAGGGUCAACAACAGUCUCAAGGUCAGGGUCAACAACAGGCUCAGGAUCAGGGUUAUGGAUACGGGUCUCAGGGUACUGGGUCGCAGGUUGGUUCGGGAGAGACGAUGUUACAAGACGGAUCAUGGAUGGCUGGUUUGGCUAUGGGAGACUCUAGCAGAUUAACCGGUGCUUCACUAGCAAUGCUACUCGCCGGAUUUACCUUUGUGUUUCCUUUUAUUUUCUCGUAGCAUCAUCGUCUUUGACUUUCCCUUUCAUUUGCCUUUGUUUAAUGUUAGACUGUCUUGUUGAUAAUCAGUUUUUUUUUUCUCGAGUAGGACUGCAACAAUUUGGGGUUUUAGGUUGUUCUUGUACUGGAGCUUUGUGUGUGCGUGUUCUUGCUUCAUCUGUCUUUAAAGAAUGUUUGUUUAAUGUUCGACAUUGUGAGAUAUGUUUUGUGAUUUAAUCAUCUCAACUGGGUUAGUUUCAGAUCUAAAGCACCAUAAAUUAAGUAACUAACCUUAAUUGAAAUUGACAUUUAUUGUGUUUGUUGGUCUACUUAAAUCUUAGAGAAUUAAUAGGUCUAUAUGAUAAUGUUGCCAGAGCCAAGCUGGACCUCACAGUUCAUUGCAGUGUGAUUUGAAUCAUGCUACUUAUCUUUUUUAUUUACUUUUUGACGAUGCUACUGAUUUGAUGUCUCCUUAUGUCAGAAAUUUAUAUGAUAAAACUUAUUAAAGUUUCCCACGCCACAAAGCCACAGUAGCGUCUCAUUUCAUGUCCUUUAUUGACCCGUUGUCACUUAUUGUCUCCACCACCACCAGUACAUUUUAGUUGUAUUCAUUUAUAAUGUUGAAGUGUCGAUUGAAAGUUUGCAAAAAAAACCUAUUCUAUCUCUUAUUGAUGACCCUAGACUUGAAGUAUAUCUAUCGACCAUUUAAGAUUCGCAGUGCAUCUUAACACAUAAAACACACGUUAGAUUCGGAGCCUGACAUGUUUGGUCUCAGGGUCUCGAGACAGCGAGAAAGAUGAAUUCACCGUUUUACCCUCGUAUAUGAUGCUGACUCGAUACUCUCCUAAAAAUCCCAAGAAGCUGAAGGUUCCACGGUCGUCCGUCUUUGCCUUAACUUCACCGGUAGUCCAUUCUAGCAGCUUCUUAUCCACCACGUCUCCGGCAGGAAGGUUAAUAAACUUAUCGUCAGUAAGGCACAUUUGGUAACAGCCGUUAGGGUGAAGUGCGGUCCAUAGAAUUAUACCGUUCACUGAUGGGUGCGAAAAUCCUUCACGUAACACUUGCUCCAAAUAAAGCGCCUGUUACACAUUUUAGUUUAUUUGUUGUGUUAUAAUGAAAAAACUAAUUGUAAUUUAUCACCAAAAAUGCUGAUGAAUGGUUCAUUCCACUACUAUGACCAUGGUUCCUACUUCCUAUGAUAUGAAAAGUAUAUAAUUUAUUACCAAAAUGCAAAUGACUCGUUCAAUAUUAUUUUUGUUAGCUAGAUAACCAAAAUCGCUUGUGCACAAAAAAAUAAAAAUAACCAAAAUCGUGUCAAAUAAACCGCAAAAUUUACACCAAAACAAGAUUCACUAUUUCAAAAUGAUGGUCAAUUUUGCACUAAACCGAGUUAAACCGGAAAUCAGGUCUGACAAUGUUUACCUGAGUGCGGUGGUCGAGAGUGGAGCUGAUAUCAAUCUCGGUAAGCCAUACCGGAAGCUCAAGCGUGGCGAGUUUGUCAAGGUUGGCUCUCAUCAGCGCCACGUUAGGCCUCGUGAAGUGACCCUCUAGCCCAACUCCGUCCAUCCUCAUACCGCCGCCGUCGUACCUUUCUAGCUCCUUGACCCUCGCGAUAUACUCAUCGACCGUUGACCUCUCGUCACUGCAAGUCUCCACCACGUUGAAAUCAUUAAGGAACAGAGUCGCAAGCGAGUCAAGCUCACGCGCCGCCGCGAAUAACUCGUACGAAGCGUUCUUCCCCAACCGGCUUUCGUAGAAGUCGAAGUGAAGCAUCUCGUUGCUCACGUCCCAGUGCACAAACUCUCCUCUGUAACGAGUCAUAAGGCUCGUUAUACGCUGGUUAACCGCGGACCGGAGAUCUUCCCCGGUUAGAUUACGAACCCAGUCGGGAGUGUAUUUGGGAUCUUCCCAGAAGAUGUUGUGGCCACGAGCGAUGAUUCUAUUAGCUCUGACGAAACUCAUCAUCUGAUCCGCGAAUGUGUAGUUUAGCUUGCCUUGAUGGGGCUCCGUUGCGUACCAUUUAAGCUCGUUCUCGAAGACAGUCGCGUCGAAUCUCUUCACGAACCACUCCUACGAGAUAAACCAAAUAAUAUGUAACGUUGCAUGAAUUGUUAUGGAAGUGUAGCUGAUGCAAUAAUGUAACGUCGCAUUUGCAUGAAUUGUUAUGGAAGUGGCUUACUUGGUAAGGGAUGUUUCCGAGGAUUGUUUUGGAGAUAGCUGAUCCAAUGGGGAAGUCUUUAGCGAUCUGCUCUACGUUCACCACUGCUCCUUCAGCGCUCUCUCCGUUUUCUCCGGCCACGUGAAUUGUCACUGCUCUUUUUCUCGCCUGAAAAUAAGUUUUCACAUAAAGAUUGUCAAAAAAUUUCAGAUAUUUUCUAUAGUAGAAAGUCUUGUUUUGUAUUUUACAGUGUUAAUGAAGUAAUCUUGGUUGUUCUUCCAUUGAUCCUGCGUGAAGGGCUGAAGCGAUGCACUCGCCACUUCUAAUUGGGUUUUACCAUCGUCGUUUGUUGUCUGCAUUAUUAGGAAUUUUUUUAACAUUUAAGUUUGAUUAUGUAACCAAAUCUUUUGAGCAUUAAUGUAUAUGGAAUAGACCUCAAAGAAGAGUAUGGAUAGUUGGGAAGGAGAGUCAAGAAGGAAGCCGCCUUUGAGGAAAGACCAGCAACCUUGUUUUGCAGAUACAGAACCUACGCAGUUUAAGGUGGCGUUGUCUGAUCUCAACUUUGCUCUUACACGAGCUGUUGACGCAGAACCAGCCUCUAUCUUCACCCAAACUGUAUUUUAUUUUUCAGUAGUCUCAAACCAAUCAGAUGAUGGUUACAUUGAGUUAUUUUUAUAUCAGAAGGGAAAUGAUACUUAACUGGAGAAGCAAUAGAUGGUGUUUUGCGUGAGAUUGUGCAAUAUGUAAGCUGGUGUGUAGCUAGCACCAACGCUUCUGAGAGUGUCUCUGCCUGACCCAGAAGCUUCUUCGCCUUUCAGCAUCCCUCCAUUGUAAAGUGGUUUCUCUGGUUCUGCUCUACACUGCUCAUUUCGGUUGUGUUUUUUUCAGAAAUCAGUAUUUACAUAAUUCAACAUAUGAACGAUUAGUUUACAAUAUUAAAUAAAUGUAACAAUCCAAAGCUUAAAACCUCUGUAUAGGCAGUAGAAUCGUAGAAAGGUCCAUCUGCACAUGAAGAUCAAUCUAUCAAGCUAAAAAGUCUUGUAUAUAAUAUGGUGUAGGAUCAUAAGUACCAUUUGACGAAGAAACAAGUAUGAAAGCGGCGAGGAGCGAAUAAAUGGCACAAAAAAUGAAACCAAUGAUGGAAGAAUGUUUCAUGAUUCAGAGCAAGAACACAAAAAAAUCCUGAGAUUUGAAAGGGAAAAGGAGAGAGAGAGAGAGAUGAGGGGGAUCGAUGAAACCAAGUGUGUGUCCCGAUAUGAUUGGAUGAAGGUGGUUACACCAUUCCCUAAUUGGGAAGAGUUUGAUUCAGAGAGGGAACACAAUAUGACAGAGCACACAGUAACCUAUUUAGUGAGUUCACGUGACGAUGUUGUUAUACGCGAAGUGGGUGGGUUCUGUGCAAAGUGCUUCAUGUGAACUCGUGCUUUUAUAUAUUUGAUUGUUCAGCUACUUUAGUACUUUCUUUCCCCCACGGGAGUAUGCUUUCACUACAAGUUAUUAACCCAUUUCGUACCCUUUUGUUUUGUGUGUGUGUAUAAAAAAACUUACGCCUGCAAAAUUGAAGUGCACGCUCUUGUAGUCCAGUCCCCAGGGACCAUUUUCCUCUCGCAUGCGACGCUUUGGGCUUUAAUGGGCUCGGUCUCAUUAAGCCCAAUGGUCUCAAAUAAUUAUUUUAAUUAUUUUUCCUUUAAGCCCGUUUCAAACACAUGGAGUCUGAAAUUAUUUAUCCCUGGUCAAAGACUCAAAGGAUCUGAUCUAUAUAUUAUUUUUUUGGGUCGAGGAUCUAUACAUUAUUUAAUGUUUUCUUCAUGUAUUUUCCUUUAGCAAUAAUGUUGUAAAGACUAAAGAGACACUAAAAAUAUUUAAGUGCGACUAAAGAUAACACUUAUGUAAUAAAAAGUCAUUUUCAUUACAUAACUUUUUGGACGGUCUAAAACGUAAUUAUCUUUAAAUUUUUUUUUUUAGAAUUUCUGGUGGCGAUCAUCUUCGCUUCGCCGCUUGGGCGGUGGCCGUAGUUACUAAUUAACUGUGAUUAACCGCAAAUGAUAAUUAAAGUCUCGUCGUCUUCUGCUACUACUGUCACCUUCUCCACUUUUUAGCUCAAUCCUUCUCCUCCAGAGAGGCUGAGCUUUCUCCUCUCUCUCUCCCCAUCUCCGACACCAUGGCUGCUGACGACGGCGACCCCACCAAAUUCGCCGCGAUCUCCUCCUCCUCCUCCCCUCUUCUCUCCAAACCCUCCACGUCAGCUCUCGAUUCCCCGCGUCGAAGUAGCGAUCCCGAAUCCGACCCGACACAGUUCCUCCAGAUCUCUUACAACUUCGGUCCUAGACCUUUCAAAGACGUCGCUUUCCUCCUCCUCUUCGACCUCUUCGUCUUCUCCACCUUCGGCUUCGGCGUCUUCUCCGUCUUCCAUAGGAAUACUGAUUACGGCGACUCCUCUUCCUUCUCCUACGAUCUCGCCUCCACCUCUUGCCUCAAAGUCUCCACCUUUACGAGGUUUUCGAAUAGUUAUUGGUCGGAUCCGGUCUUUGAGAAGGAUUUGAUCUGGACCCUUGUUGUAACGCUAAUCUUAAGCGCGCCGUUUUGUUUUCUUGUCCUGCUUUUGCUCAAACACUACACUAAGCAGAUAGUUUACGCUUGUUUGCCUCUCUUUGUCCUGUUCCCGAUCUUCUUCAAUGUUUACUGGUUCGUCGCUUGUACUCUUAGCUCCUCUUGUAGCGACGCACUCCCUCUAGCUUACAGAGUCCUUCUCCUAGUGUUUGUUUUCUUGAUCGUGGGGGUCAUUGUCUGGAUCAUUGUAGCGAACUGGCAUAGAAUCGAGCUGACGAUUCAGAUCAUCGGUGUUGCGUCGGAUGCACUGUCUAAAAACUUGAAGCUUUUUGUUGUGUUGCCGUUGUUGAUCCUCGGGUUGGUUGUGUACUACGCGCCGAUUGUGGUGUUCUUGGUGUUUGCUAGGUUUAACGGCGAGUUUGUGCCGAGGGAGGUGGAUGGUGAUGAGUAUGUUUGUGAGUGGAAGGAAGAUUCGUGGGUUCCUGCUUACUACGCUCUUGCAAUCAUAACUAUGAUUUGGUCUCUUGCUGUAAUGGUGGAGAUGCAAGUGUAUGUUAUCAGUGGAGCUAUUGCUCAGUGGUAUUUCUCCAAGGAAGACUCAAUGCCUAAGAAAUGCAUACGGAGCUCUUUGAGGUGAUUUGUGAUUGUGAUUGUGAUUCCCCCUUUGAUUCCUUUAGUUUAUGUGCAGUGUUUGACAUCUCUGUCUCUCUCUUUCAGGAACGCGUUUGGUCAAUCCUUUGGUACGAUAUGUCUCUCGGGGAUCCUCGUAGGGGUUGUUCGUGUUGUCCGAGCCAUUGUGGACAACGCGAGAGAAGAGAAUCCACAAGGGAUAGUGAACUUUGCUCUUCGUUGCUGUGCAAAUGCCUUGCUUGGAGCUUUUGACUAUCUCAACAAGUUCACCAUCAACUUUGCUGCGAUAACUGGCGAGUCUUAUUGCACCUCUGCCAAAAUGACUUACGAGCUGUUAAGACGGAACCUGCUCUCAGCUGUUUUUGUGGAAACUGUUUCCACUAGGAUCCUAACCGGAAUAGUUUUUGUCCUCUCAGCUGCUUAUGCGGUCGCGGUGAGUAUAAGACAACUUGUGCAUCUUCUCACUAACCAAACCUUUGAGUUACUAAUUUUGGUGUGUUAUGUUGUGAAAAACAGACAUGGGCUGUACUGAGAGGAGUGAGCAGCUUGGGUGUAGAUUCGUACUUGGUGGCUAUCUUGGCGUGGCUAUUACUGACAGUGGUCUUGGCUUUCUUUGUACAUGUUCUUGAUAAUGUGAUAGACACGAUCUAUGUAUGUUACGCGAUUGAUCGAGACAAGGGAGAUGUGUGUAAGCAGGAAGUUCACGAGGUGUAUGUUCACUUGCCUAUCAGCAGAAGCACAAGAUCUGCGCUCAUCCCAAAUGCUCUUAAUGCAUAGGAGAAGAUGAUCCCAAUGUCUCUGCUUGUUUUUGUUUUUUUUUUACAUUUGUUUUUCACCAUUGUAAAUUCCUGAGUAGAGUGGAUCUGGUGAAUUAUCGUUUGUAUUCCUGGGGAUUAUAUUUUGACGCUGUGGGAUAAUUUUGAAUAAAAACAGAGUUUUAGAAAUAAACAAGGCAUCGAUAUUCGGAUUGGUUAUUUUUCGGAUUUAAAUUGCUUAGUUAUGAUCGGAUCAAUUAUGAUCUGGAUUAUUGAUCGUUAGAUUACUUAAUUCUUUAACAUGUCUUGGAUUUCAAAACAUUCUAAUUCUUUAACAUGUCUUGGAUUUCAAAACAUUUGGUCAUUUGGAACAACCAAGUAUUUGAAUUUUUUUGGUCUAGGUUGGUUCUUUGUAAAACUAGAUCGAUCCGGAUUUAUAGUUUAAGAUAAUCAUAGUUUUAGAUAUGAUUAUGGUCUGGGUUGGUUCUUUGUAAAAAUAGAACACACAUGAUCAUAGUUUUAGAUACGGCAAUUGUCAAUAAUAGCACCUUUUGAAGUUUAUGUCUCAAAAAGAGCACUAGAAGGAGAAAGUCACAAAAAUGACAUUUAUUAAAAGAUAAAAUGUUCCUAAUAUCUUUGGUUUAAAUUAAAUAAACAAACAAAAAUAAAAUAAAAAUAAAAAAAAAAAAAUUUUUUUAUAGUUUCAGAUUAUAUGUUUUCAGAUUCGAAAUUUUUAUAAUUUUUUUUAUAAAAAUUUUUUUGAAUUUUUUUUUAUUUUUUUUUCAAAUUUUCUUUUUAUAGUUUAAAAAUAAUUUUUGAAACUGUUUUAUAAAUUUUUUAUUUUAGUAUUUAUUUUUUAUAAAAUUUUAAACCUUAAUUCCAAAACCCCACCCCCUUAACUCUAAACCCUAAGGUUUGGAUUAGUUAACCCAAGGGGUAUAAGUGUAUAUUUACUUCAUUAAUGAAACCUAUUUUUGUGACUUUGAGCCUUGAGUGCUACUUUGGGAACAAAAACUUGGUUUGAUGCUAUUCUAGUCUUUUUCUCUUUUAGAUAUUCAUGUUUUUGGUUAGGUAUGAAUCGGUUAUUAACAUCAGGUCUGUUUAAAACGAUCUUUUCGGAUUCUGCAUUCGAAUCUAUUCGGAUCAAUUAUUUUUGGUUUUGGUUUUUUUGGAUAAAUGAAUUUUAGACUUAACUAGGUUUUUUAUAAAUUUUCUAUGAGAGUUUUUUUAGAUAUCCAGACCUAGAAUAAACAUUGUUCGGUUCUUUUUACAUACAAUAAAGAUGAACUCUAAUGAGGAGUUAAAAUCUCGAUGAGGUACUCCCACCAUUAACAAAUUUAUAUUGCCUAGUUGAUGUUUUUUGGAAGAGUAACCAAGAGCUAGCAGGAAUAGGAUGGUCCUUACACAGUAAAGAAGGCAUCAAAAAGAUAAGAGGUUCCUCUUCUAUCAUGCCAACAAAUACAUCUAUAGAAACAGAGGUAAUGGCAAUGUUAAUGGCAGUCCAACAAAUCAAAAGCUUACGGUAUGAGAAUGUCGCUUUUAUUAGCGACUGUAAGCAAUUAAUAGAUGAGUUAAAUCAGUUUUAUGCUGAAGAAACCAUCAUCAGUAAGCGUGUCACGGAGGCUGCCUCUAUGAUACGAGACAUCUACAACAUAUCAAGAGCUUGUAAUUUCACUUUUCACUUUAUGUCCUGAUCUUUUUUAAAUGUUGUAGAUGCACUAGCUAAAGAAGCAAGAACUAAAAACCAAAGUUAUGUAAUAUCUUGGUUUGCUUAAUAAUAAAAUGUUGACAAAAAAAAAAAAGAUGAGGUUGAAAUGUUAUAUCCACAAAUUGGUAAAUGUUGAUAAUUGAGCGCAGAAAAAAACAAUGGGGGGUGAAAUUGUUACCAUCGAGUCAUUGUGGCAAAACUGAAAUAAACAUAAAAAUACAAGGGUCUUAAAGAGCAAAGUAAAAUAUUAAGAAGCACAAGCGCUUUAUCAUCGGUCUAAAUCUCAGAAGCUACCUGACUUUCUCUCUACGGCGACGCAAUUCGAAGAAGCUUCUCUCUCUAUCUCUCGACACGAUGGUUCUCGAGGUGAUUUUCUAGUUCCAUCUGCUUCUGAUUUCGAUCUCUUCAUCGAUCUCCCCUUGUUUGAUUCGCUGUGAUUGGAUGUUUGAUUUAAUCCGUAGGCGACUAUGAUUUGCAUCGACAACUCCGAGUGGAUGCGAAACGGAGAUUACUCUCCCUCUAGGCUACAGGCUCAAACCGAAGCUGUUAAUCUUCUCUGUGGGGCCAAAACCCAGGUAAAAAGUUGAACACUUUGAUUCGAUUAGGGUUUUCGAUUGUGCUGUUGGUUGUGAAUUUAGGGAUUUUUUUUUCGUUUUGUCAAUUGCAGUCGAAUCCGGAGAAUACAGUGGGGAUCUUGACAAUGGCUGGGAAAGGAGUUAGAGUUUUGACAACUCCUACCUCUGAUCUUGGCAAAAUCUUGGCGUGUAUGCAUGGUGAGUCUAGUGAAAGAGAUUGGAAAACAAUUUUUUUGACAUCAGUUUUGCUAACUUGAACCAUCUUUUUUUCAGGACUUGAGGUGGGAGGGGAGAUUAACUUAACGGCUGCGAUACAGAUUGCUCAGCUAGCUCUUAAGCAUCGUCAAAACAAGAAUCAACGCCAAAGGAUUAUUGUUUUUGCUGGAAGGUUCUGACUUUCUUGUGUUCAUGCAUAGUUAUCUGUUUAUUUUGUGUUUAGUUAUCUGAUGUUUGUGUUGCUUUUUUAUAGCCCAAUCAAGUAUGAAAAGAAGGCCUUGGAGGUUGUUGGGAAAAGGCUCAAGAAGAAUAGUGUCUCUCUUGACAUUGUCAAUUUUGGAGAUGAUGAUGAUGAGGAAAAACCUCAGAAACUUGAGGCCCUCCUUGCAGCUGUCAAUAACAAUGACGGAAGCCACAUUGUUCAUGUUCCUUCUGGGGCCAAUGCUCUCUCUGAUGUGCUUCUCAGGUAUCAUCAGUUUUCUUCCUUCUUUAGGUAGAUUGUAAUUGGAACAGUUCAUACAUUUGAGAAAGGCAUUGUAUGAGCUCUGGAGUCUUUAAAGAACUUUGUUUUUAUCUAUACGUGUUUUGUUACCAGUUACCACUGUGUCUGUAGUUGAAGUUAUCUUUAUAAUGUGUUAACUCUUAAAUUUUCUUGCAGCACACCUGUAUUCACGGGUGAUGAGGGUGCAAGUGGGUAUGUUUCUGCGGCAGCUGCUGCAGCUGCAGCGGGUGGUGACUUUGACUUUGGUGUGGAUCCAAAUAUCGACCCAGAACUUGCUCUUGCCCUUCGAGUCUCCAUGGAGGAGGAGAGAGCAAGGCAAGAGGCUGCUGCUAAGAAGGCAGCCGAUGAGGCAGGUCAGAAAGACAAAGACGGGGAUACAGCUUCGGCCUCACAGGAGACGGUUGCUAGGACAACCGAGAAGAACGCUGAACCAAUGGUUAGUCGUUAGCCACUUUGUGUGUCUAUCCUUCUUAGUAGUAUUUUAUUAUUAUAUAGCCACAGGCAAGCAUUGUUUACCGUACAACUUUAUUAUUAAUCAAAAAUUUGUGGCAGGAUGAGGACAACGCAUUGCUAGACCAGGCAAUUGCUAUGUCCGUAGGUGAUGUAAACAUGUCAGAAGCGGCGGAUGAGGACCAGGAUUUGGCUUUAGGUGAGUAGAGCUUUGUAGUAAAAUCAUAUUAGUGGUCUAUGAAAAGUAGCCUUCGCUUGUAAAUGUGACAAUUAGAAGAUAAAUUUUUAUUGCUUUGGGUGUUUUGAGUAAAGACAAGACCCUUAUGUUUGAAUCUGGUCCAUGUGCAGCGCUGCAAAUGUCAAUGAGUGGGGAAGAGUCAGGUGAAGCUACGGGUGCUGGAAACCUCUUAGGAGAUCAAGCUUUCAUAUCAUCUGUUCUCUCAUCGGUAAGCUUUUACUUAAUUAAACGUCUGAAUUUUUACAAGCAAAGCGAAAGGGAAAAGUAGAUUGGUCCUAACUGUUUGUCAAUACACAGCUUCCAGGGGUGGAUCCAAAUGAUCCAGCGGUUCAAGCGCUGCUAGCGUCUCUGCCAGACGAAUCAAAGGUGCGUCUUGCAUUGGUUUGAACAAGUUUUCUUGGUUGAUAAUGAAGAUACACCGUGAUAAUGUAUUAUGUUAAAAUUUGCAGCGUAACGAGGAAGAGAGUAACAGCAAAGGUGAGGAUGAGAAGAAGUGAAGAAGGAGACAGACGUAUCAUCAUGGCUCUCAAUAAAAUGCCUCUCUUUUGUUUGGUUUGGUAUGAUAGAGAGAUCAUAUGAGACUGAAGAAGAACUCUCUUAUUAAUCUCUGCCUUUAUGACCUUGUUUGUUCUCACGCUUUUUCAUUAAUGUUAAAUGUUGGUCAAGAAAUACAAGUCCAGUCGUGUCUGCCUUGGCAAGUCAUGAACCCCUGGACGAAUCGUUGAAUCAUUUCGGUAGUUCGGUCUAGGCGCAAAAAAAAAAACCAGUUACUAAACAGAUAAAAUCGCAAGUUAAAAAUACAAAUUCACUCAAGGUAACACACAUGGCAUACAAAUUUUUGAUGGAACACUAUUAGAAGAGAGUAAGGUCGCAAACAUAUGGGAUAAGGAAGUAUGAAGCCGAGUUUUAAGACACUCAAGGGACCGGGCCAACCAUUUUUACGGCAAUAAAAAUUUACAAAUUUUUAUUUUUCCCUUAAUAGAGCAAGGUAGGGAAAAGACAAAAGGAGUCGCAAGACUCACAGCUACAAUAUUAAAAAGGAAAACUACGUAAUAUAAGAAAUAAAAUAAAAAUCUAACGGAAGCUUCUAAAUGCAUCUACCUAACAUCUUUGAAAAAGCUGGUUUGAAAUAUAACAAAUUAAUAUCAAAAUUAAAUAAAUGCUUUUAGAAAGAAGAAGAGGAGGCAGGUGCGUCUGUCUUCCUCACUUGUGUGGUCAUCUUUUGGCUUUUUGUCCUUUUCCUUUUUCUCCUUAUCCUCAGUUCUCGCCACUCUUCUCUUCCAUCCCUCUCAUUUCCAAAAUAUCCUAUCGAAUGUGCAUUGAUAAUCCAAACUUUCGAAAUGGGAUCACUCAAAACGAAAAAUUUCCAUAUCAAAUACUAAAAAAGACAUUUAAAAUUUGGUUAGAGUAGAGGUAAUUUUAGACUUCAUACCAUCAUUAUUCAGUUCGUCUCUUCAACAGAAUGAUGUAUACCAUGCUUAAUCCCCGGUGCAAGUAAAGUCAUCGCAAUUAGUAUUGCUAGCAACUUACUGAUCACGUAAUCAAUAUAUAAUAAUGAAAAAUAGUUGUAUCUAUUAUUUUGGGAUUUGAGAUAUAGUAGAGGACUUCUUCAAAAGUUUUGGGAGUUUAACGAACAUAUCCAACACCGGUCUAAUAAGCAUCUUAUGAUAGAAAAAUGUUUUACUUUACUACGAGUCACGACUUUCUAAAUUCAAGCAGUUUGUAUGCAUGCAUAUAUGAGCAGCAGGGUAUAUUGCAUGUGUAUGCAUGCAUGUGGAAUUGUGAAAAAUGUAUUAAUAUGUCUAUAUGCAUCGCAAGUGGACAAAAGAUGAUGAAUGGUUGGUAUAUAGGUUGGUAGGAAGAUGGGUAGUGAGAAAUAAAUAGAGUUUGGUAGAAGAAAGGGUCUAUUGGUUUGGUUGUUGCUUCCUUCAUUUAUGUUAUUUUCCUUUUUUAUAUCUAAUAUUAAUGUUGCUCCUACAACUUAUCUACAAGCCUCACUCUCCAUCUGUCAUGAAUCGGUUGGAUUUAUUUCCAUUUCACAUUCUUCAUAUAUAUAUAUAUAUAUAUAUAUAUAUAUAUAUAUAUAUAUAUAUCUUUUGUUAGAGAGCUUAAAUGAAAAGAUAUCAUCUCUUUGUAAUCUGACUAUUAUAUGCGGAAACCAUAUACUUAUAAUCUUUUCUCCUGAUUUGGCUUAUCUCCAACAUUGGAUAAUGAGGCUUUUUAGGCAACCAACCUCUAACUGCAUAAACUAAUCUCAACCACAAGAAAUUUUAUCUUACCAAUUGUAUAAUACGAUUUUUUUCUUUCUAUUCUCGUUGAAAAUAGUUCGAUAAUCUACACUCCUUAUAGGUUUGUUUAAGCACUUAAAAUUACUAACUCAAACUAUGUUGGUUUCUCUAUAUAUGGAAAAAUUUUAUCACACAUAAUUCCUGGAACAGGUACAUUUUUAAUAUUUUUGCAAUGAAAAAUUUCGAUAUAAGAAAAUUGUUGAGUAAGAAAUAUGUUCUAUGUGUAGUUUAAAAUCCAACAGUAAAAAAAUUCAUACAGAGUGAAUGAUGAAUAAUAAUAGUGUACCUUAAAAAUAAUUCUAUAGGCAAAAAAAGUUUGUACAGUUACGCACUUGGCAUAAUUUGACAUUAAUAUUAUAUCAUCUCCAAGCUUCGAAAACCUAAAAGAGAAGUAGUAGUAGUCUCUUUCGUUGCCAACCCUAAGAAAUCGAAUCCGUGGCUGAUGUCACCCCCAUUGCCAGUACUGCCGCUGCUACCUCCAACUACAUCGCAUCUUAUGCUUCCGCAUCUGCACUCCAUGCCGUUUAUCAUCCCUAAACUGCACCGGAAACAACGGGCCCUUGUUGACUUUCCCUCAACAACAUCAGGAAGACUGAUUCUGAGCUCAAGAUUCAAAUCUGGCAACUUCUCUUCAGUUAGGAACUCGUCUUUUUCCUCUUUGAACGUAAGCAUUGAGAUUUUCUCUGGUUUUACUUGAAAACAGCUUGUGCUUUCCAUCUUUGGAGUAGAAGUGAAAGAUAUGUUAAUGGUGUUGUUACUCGUUAUUGCUUCUAUUAGUUGUGUAGGUUUAGAAUCUUGAGAAGCUGAUGAUGAUUCUUGGACUGGUCUAUGAGUCGUUGGAUCAAUCCCUCUGUUUAUAAGCUUUCUUCGUAUAUGUGUGUUCCAAUAAUUCUUUAUCUCGUUAUCUGUUCUUCCCGGUAAUCUCCCGGCAAUAAGCGACCAUCUACAACAAGAAUAAUAUAUUAGUUUUGAAAAAAUAAAAACAAGAAUAAUAUAUAUAUAUAUAUAUAGAUACAAGUUUAGCAUCAAAAGUUCAAGCUUCUUUUUAUUUGCAUGAAAUUUUAAAAAGAAAGUCCCUAUAGACUAUAAGUACUCACUUGUUUCCAAGAAGGCUAUGGAGCUUGAUGAUGAGCUCGUCCUCGUCCUCGGUGAAGUUUCCACGCUUUAGGUCAGGCCGGAGAUAGUUGAUCCACCGGAGACGGCAGCUUUUGCCACACCGAAGAAGGCCGGCGGCUUUGGGGAGAGAUCUCCAGCAGCCUUCGCCAUGAGCUUUGAUGUAUGCUGUGAGCCUCUCGUCCUCUUCUUUCGUCCAUGCUCCUUUGUUUGUGUGAGCUUUCUCACAACAUGGUGACCUUCCCAUACUUUUUCUUUCUGUUUUCUGUGUUUAGAUCUUAUUAUUUCUUGAUAUGAAAAUCUUGCAUAUAUAAAUAUAAAGAGGUAUGAAUUAAUCAAGUGUGUUUAUGUUACUUUAUAUGUAUACUGGGAAUUGGCUUUUAGCGAGGGUUUUGGCUAAAAGGGACUAACUUGUUUUUUUUUUUGUAGUGGAAGAUGAUUAAGGCAUUUGGUGGGGCACUUGGAUUUUGGGUUUGGUUGAAGGUUCAAAGCUUUGGUGUAUAGUUUAUAUAAGGUUUUGACUUAAAGCUGUAGAGCGAUACAUAUACAUAGAUUGUAUACAAUUGCUUCUAGAUGAUAGAGGCGUAGAGGUAGAGAGAGAGAGAGUUGAACUUUAUAAUUGCUUCUAGAUGUGAGUUGGUGGGAUGGAUUUGAAUGGGUAGUGUAUGGUGGCCUUUCGUUUUGGUACAAUAAGUGAGAGCUUGACAUAUAUGGCAUCAUGGUCUUUAGAAAAAAAAAAUUUCUAAUAAAAAUGACAAGUGACAACAAUUUAAUAUUUUAUUGCCGCAAUACAUUAACCAAAGAAAAGUAUCGUAUUAAAUCGCUAGUAAUACAUAUUUACAAAAUGUUUUAACAAUUUUGUUAUUUUUCCUUGCAUUUACAGCAAUUUUGAUCUCUUUCAUAGAACAAACAUUUAAAAGAAAAAGAUAUUAAUAUCAUCUAAAUUCUUCGACUGACAUAGUAUUAGUGUUGACAAAUCAAACUUUAACUUCGACCGAUUUAAUUAGUACAUCAGGUAAGUCUUACCAAUGUUUGCACGUUUUAAUUGCAUGAUCAAGCUUGUAAUAAAAGUAGGAAAGAAGAAAAUUCAAUUAAACAUACAAAAUCCGAAAUUCGGUAAACUGAAAGUUUGGGAAUGGCCUUUACCGCCAGGUAUCGCCCCUAAUAAAAUUUAUCAUAAUAUAAAUAAGAAAGUGGAUUCUUUUGAUAAAAAAAAAGUGGAUUCUUAAAAUAAAUUUGGUAGCAAUAAUGAAGAGGAGGGCAAUUAAGUUGUGGGAGUAGGUAAAAAGUUAAUGAGUGAUUUUGAACAAGUGCAGGUCAACUGUAGGCGGUGAGGUUUGUACUGGGUGUAUAGACUGCACUCUGUUAAUUAUUGUUUUUAAUAAUCUACAUAGAUCUUAGAAACCCUAAUACAAUUACUCGCUAACACAAAUUAAAGCACUAUCAAGUAACUAAUUAUGUGGGCAUGGUAUAACUUAUAGAAAUAUUUUUUUUUUGAUGAAAAAAAUGUUAGGAUCAUGUAUAAACCGGGGUUUUGAACCGGACGUGAAUAAAACACGCAACCAUUUGAUCUGGAGUCAGACGCGCUACCAUUGCGCCACGGAUCCGAUAUUAUAGAAAUAUAUGGUUGGUUCUAAAUUUUAUCUCAGAUGACAAGCACUUCGUGUUUAGCAUAUUUGUGAUCAUGGUCAUGUUUCUUUUAUAUGUAUGCAAAAAGUUUAAAACAAUAUACAACAAUAACCACCAACAUAUUUUCUUUAUAAGAAAACCACCAAAACAGAAUAUACAUAUAUAAACAUGUUUAGAUAUAAAUCUUUUGGACAUAAGAAUGUGCCUUCUAGAACCUUGGCUUAGAAUGGUUUUCUAAUCCAACUAACUUUUUAAAAAUAUUCGAGACUUGUAAACCAAGACUUAACAAAUAUUUUAGAAACAGUUUUAACCACCAACUGUACAGUCUGGACUGGAUAUAAUACCACUAGUCGUAUAUAUCACUUUUACCUUUUGUAGAACAUGAAAAGUUGGAAAAUUAAUUGUUUCCAUCGUAUUUUUGUAACACAUGUGACUAUGUAAGAAAAAAAAGUUGAACGAUUACAGUAGUUAGUAGAAUAGUACAUUAAUUUUAUUGUGUGUAUGUAUGCGUACCCAUAUAUACUUUAGACAAAAGUGGAACUAAAUUGUGAAAUUUGGUAAGUUAGGUGGAAAUUUUGAGAAGACUUUUAAAAUAAUAAUGGUUUAUUGAAUUGAGAUGGAAAAAACGAAAAAGAGAGAAAGUUGUUGAACUUCAAUUUUUAAAGUCUAUUGGUCUACAAUCACUCACCUCAUGCAUGAUGAUGGCGCUCUUCUAGAAUGUUAGAUUCUCAGCUAGGGGCAGAGAUUCUUCAAAUCAGAAACAGAAGCUCUAUUCAUUUACAUUUGAAUAAAAUCAUCAAAAUCCAGAUUCACUUUUAACGUUCACCAAUUACCCUAAUUAAUUGAUUUUCUUGAUCUGUUUUCUUUACAAUAUAUUAAAAUAGGCCAACUAGCAAGUUGUACCAAAAUAGACCAAUUAGCUAGUAUUGUUUUAUGAAAAAACAAAUACAUAAACACUACACGCAAGGAGCUUUUUAAACAUCAUCGUUUACAUAGUUCUGCUGAAUUAUUCUUUAUGCAUAUAUGUAGUAGAAUAACAUUUUUUAUUAGUAAUAAUGGCCUAAUGGGAUUGUAAAUGAUGUGGACGAAAUAGCGAUGUGUGAAAUAACGAGUAUACUAUAGAUGCGCUAUAAUGAUAUAUAGUACUGCUAACAAUUUUGUCAUUUUCUUGGCGUAAGUGAUAUGUUUAAGAGUUGGAUGGUUAUAUCCUAUUUUUAAGUCCGUAUGCGGUUGGGGAAGUGGGGUUUGGUUCACCUUCCACUUUUUUAUUUUCAAUUGUUUUAAUGAUGGAUUCAUAUUUUAAUUUUAACAUUGCGUAUUUAUGUUAUAUAUGACCACCUUUAUCUUGAGAUAGAUUUAGUUGAAAACCGAAAAGAGCUCGUAACAGUUAUAUUAUAAACUACUGUAGGAAUUUAAUUUUAGCAGAGUAAGAAUGCAAGAUAUUACUAUGAUCGGUUUCCGUUGCGAAUACGUGAAAAAAAGUUGAAUGCUUAUUGCUUGGUGACGGUGGGGGAUUAAUAAUAGUAUAAUACAUAAAUAUGGUCACAGUCACACAUAUCUACUUAUACAAAUACGUAGAAGAUUGGAUAUAAUAUAGAGAGGUCCAUAUCAACCAAGUGUAGAUAAAUGUGAAGGUCGAAAAAGAUUUUUAAAAAAACGGGAGAGAACAAGAGAGAAAAAGAAGAGAGAAGCGAGAGAGAAAAAGUGUCGGUGUCCCCGACGCCCGGUGGCGCGUCCGCGCGCGUGCCGGCGUCGGUGGUUCAUCUUUUUUCGGUUUAGUCAAGGAUCUCUGCUGUGGGCUUCGAUCUACCGAUUCUCCCGACAUGCUAACGGAUCUGGGUUGGGGUAUUGCGCCAAGAAGGGCUCGGCUCGUACGGUGCUCCAUACGGCGGUGAUGCUGCUUUCUCUGGUUCCGUGGUGAGGGGUGAAGAACGGUUACUCGUAGCGGCAGGCUCGUGAUUUCAGGUUCAGUUUCCGGGGAGUAGAGGCUCUUUCAGCUCUACGACCGCCGGCCUUUGUUUCUGGGAGACGGUGGCUCCUUUAGCACCGUCAUCGCCGGCUCCUGUUCCCGGAAGGCGGUAGCUUAGUUAGUAUCGUUCUUCUCGGCUUUGGUCCUUUAUCUUCGCUUUAGUCUUUGUAGGUUUUUUUUCUAGCUCUUCCUCCUCUGUGUAGUCUGUUAAUCAAUGCUUCAAAGCUCUUCCGCCUCUUGAUCUCUCACCUGAAACGACUCGUGAAUGUCGGGGGUGCUGGGUCAAUGGUAGACGGUUCUCUUGUGACUGCGCAGAUCGUGUUUAAGGGUGGUUGGAUCAGUCGGCAUGGGAUACGGACGAGAUCGCGAUGGGGCUGAUGCUCUCCGAUGAUAGAUCCCAUGCGACUUGAAGCUAGCGCGGUGGUUAGUUGGGGAUGGGGCAGCGCCGCCGUCGUUGGGUGUGCCGCGGGAUUUAGGGUUUCCUGUCUUUGGGCGUUUGGGUGUGGGCUCAAGGCCCGGUUUGUUUGGGCCGAAGGCUAGGUGGUCUGGUGUUAUUUGGCCCGGCCUGUUUGGGCUUUUGUAAUGGUUUCAGUUUGGACUUUGGGCCUUUUAAUUAAAUUAUUAAGACGGAAAAAAAAAAGAUAAAUGUGAAGGUAUUUAAUUGUGUGCCUAGCUACUCUUUUUCAGUUGAGUUUUCAUCAUUGCCGAGCCUUUGAUUAUUUAUCUCCAAAUUCAACAACGGUGAUGAAAUAUGUUAUUCAAACACAGUUAUACAAAAGAAGAUCAAACACACUUUAAAUCAAGGCAAUGUAAAUCAAUUUAUGACAGUUUCGGUGGAGAUGCGAUUUAAUUUUAAGCAUAACAGGUAAACCAGAUUUGGUGCAAUCUAUAUAUUUGGUCAAAGAAUCCAAUUUAUAGCACGAAAAGAAUCUUAUCAAUUUUAUCCACCCCCUAAAGCCACAUAUGUGACAAUUUGAAGCAAAACCAUACUUUGAUUACCAAAUAGUUCGAACAAUAGGGCAAAAGAAGGUCAUACCAUAAAGACGUGGGUAAAAUAUACAAAGGCAUGCAUGCAGUUUAUAUGAUUGAUAGCCGAUUUCACCAUAUUCAAGUUUUCUUUGAUGUGGUUCACUUUUAACUUCAUGCAACUAUAGCACAUUUAUGAGUGGGUGGCUAUCAAAGUGACUAGUAAGCAGUGUCAUGGUUUUGAUAAAACGGUCGGGUAAUUAAUACCCUAACGCAAACCAAUCUGUAAGUUCCGGUGGUUUCACUCCCUGGAGGCUGGAGGUGAGAAAAGAGAUUCGUGUGCAGGAGGAGAUGGCAUUAGGCUCUUUCAAGUCUCGCGUUUUAUGAUCUCGAAAGUUGGAUCCGCUAGAUCUACAGCGGUUUUGGAGGUCGUCUAUGGUCUUCAUCUAUUUAUUCACGGCAUCACUUCAGACCUUUUCGGUUAUGCCUCCUUUCCGGCUCAUUCGUGGGUGUUCAGUAAAGGCUUUCAUUCCAGAUGUGUUUUUUCAGGUGUUUUUCGGGUUCCCUUGCUCUGUUGACACCGAUUUAGGGUAUUUUAGCUCAAUUUUUGAAUUUCAGUUGUCUGUGGUCACAAAUAUGGAGACGGUUUCAGAGAGUUAUUGAUUAACUAUGUAUCAACAUUUGAUAUUUGUUCACGUCCCAGGCGUCGUCGAAGCUACCUUGAUGUUUUGCAGCGGUGCGCACUUUGAUUGUCUUUGCAUGUUAUUGGAGUCUCUCUGGUCUGGUGGUGGCGGUGCAUUCAAACCGUAUUUGGUUAUGUGUGUUACGACAUAGAGGUGUGUACAGCUCGGUUGUGUGACCCUCACCCUCAGUAAGGGCCCUUGAAACCUAUACUUCUAUUGUUCGUUGGGCUUCAUUGACAGUGACAUUUACAAGUUGAAGGAGUUCAUCAGAAACUAUCUACCUAGAAUGUAAUAAAUUGUCUUGGGAACUUUUGUUCAAAUUGGAUUUAUAAAUGAAUAGUAAUUUCUAUUUUUCGGGUUAAAUUAAUUAAAAAAUAUAUAUAUAUAUAUAUAUUAAAAAAAUCUGUAAGUUCCAAACAAGGGCAUAUAAAAGAACUAAUGUAUUAUAUAAUGUCAUGUUUUUUUUUAAAAAAAAAUGUAAAAUAAUUUAUAUAUGUCUUCAUCCAAUUAACAAACUCAAACCCAAACAACCAAAAUUUCUACAUUUAGUUUUUAAAUUAGCGUGUGAUGGCUAAAGAAAAAAAGAAGAAUAAAUUUGUAUCUUUGCAUAGAUCCAGAGGCGUGCCUACAGUGUAUUGAAAAAGGCAUUCGCCUUAGGCCCCCGAAUAAUAUUACAUUUUUAGGGUCCCAAAAUUUAAAAAAAAUUCUAGUUUAGUUGGUUAAAUUUCUUUCUAAAAAAAACUUUCUAUGAGAAUCGAAUAACUCAAUUUCUAAAUCCAUAUAUUUUUUUUAUAGGACAUAACAUUGCAUAUUUACGUAAUAAACUUAUUUUUGUAAGUGUUAAACUUAUGUAUUUCGCGAAGGUGAUAUAUCGUAUUAGAAAUUUUUUUUUUUUAUAGUUGUAUGUAAUUUUUUUUUUUAAACUUGCCUUAGGCCCUUAAAACCCUUCGCACGGCACUGCAUAGAUCACAUGCAUUUCAUUGAGUAGAUUCAUUAAAUAAGUAGAUAGAUAGAUUUUAUUAUCAUAUUUAUUUUCUUGACAAACCCUAGUUUUUCCUUACUACAAUCAUAAAAGAAGAAUAUAUUUGUAUUUUGUUUUUGUGUAUGACUAAUUGUAAUGUGUUUGAUAUAUACCAUGGAUAGUAGUGAGAAGGUAGAGUUCAAAGUAUAAGAAAGCGAACCCCUCCAUAGUGGGGGCUUAAACCCGUGCAAGCUUGCAUAUAUCUAUAGCUGAUGGUUGGGCCCAAACUUAUAUCUUGGGCUUAUUUUGUUUCCAUCUGUCCAGCCCAUGAUAAAGUGUAAAACGACACCGUAUAAAGCUUAAUGGAGUAAACGAAUCACACGUAGCGGGGAUCCCCGUGUCAGUUCUUGUCCGAAAAGCUGGACGGAGGAAAACGGCAUCGUAUUCGCUUCGCUUGAAUAUAUAUAUUUUGCGCAAAAGCCCUUUUCAUCCCUUUCUUCUCUCAUUACUCGAUUUAGGGUUUUCUAAUCUCGAAAGAAAUCAAGAUCCUCCUUCCUCCCUCUCUCGAUUUCGAUCUCUUUCGUGUUGAUUUCGAAUUCGUUCGUCAAUAGGUUUGUUUCUCUCUAGCUCCGAUCGAUCUCGCUAGCAAAUUAGGGUUUCGAGCGAGCUUAAUCCGAUCGGUUUCUGGAUCAGUUGAGAUGCGAUCGGAAUCUCUCUGAAUAAGAGAGACUCGUGUGGGGGGUUUCUUCCUUUGUAUGGAAACUCGGAGCCGCAAGCGUGCGGAGGCGACCUCAACUGCCCCAUCUUCUUCUUCUUCCUCUCCUCCUCCUCCUCCUUCCUCAGGUCCCACCACUCGCAGCAAACGCGCUCGCCUCUCGUCUCCCUCUUCAUCUUCAGCCGCCGCUACUGCACCUUCCUCCUCCACCCGCUCUCGUUCUUCUCGCUCUACCACCGCUACAGUCGCCGUUACUCCCAUGGACACAUCCACCGAGUCUUCUGGAUUCCACCGCGGCGGAGGACGAGGUAACAGGGGAAACGAUAAUACUAACUCUGAUAAGGGAAAAGAGAAGGAGCAUGAGGUUAGGAUUAGGGAUAGAGAAAGAGACAGAGCUAGGCAACAGCUCAACAUGGACGCUGCAGCUGCUGCUGCCGCCGCCGCUGACGAGGACGACGACAAUGAUAGUGAGGAUGGCAACGGGGGAUUCAUGCAUCCCAACAUGAGCUCAGCCAGCAGUGCGUUACAAGGGUUGCUGAGGAAGCUUGGAGCUGGACUUGAUGACUUGCUUCCUUCUUCAGGUAUUGGCUCAGGUUCGUCUUCUCACUUGAAUGGGAGGAUGAAGAAGGUACUCGCUGGCUUGCGCUCUGAAGGAGAAGAGGGAAAGCAGGUCGAGGCUUUGACGCAGCUGUGCGAGAUGUUAUCUAUUGGGACCGAAGACUCCCUGAGCACCUUCUCUGUUGAUUCCUUCGUCCCGGUUCUUGUUGGUCUACUUAACCAUGAGAGCAAUCCGGAUAUUAUGCUUCUUGCUGCCAGGGCUCUUACUCAUCUGUGUGAUGUUUUGCCGUCUUCUUGUGCUGCUGUUGUUCAUUACGGGGCUGUUUCGUGCUUUGUCGCCAGAUUGUUGACAAUAGAAUACAUGGACUUGGCCGAGCAGGUUCGAUUUCCUAACAAUUCUUGAAUUUUUUUGCUGAAUAUAUAUUGUGGAAUGUUUUAUGCUGCAGUUUCUACACGUACAUAUCCAAUAUUUUAGUUUACUUAGGACGAAAUUUGAAAUUUGAUUUUAUUCUUCAUGUGAUUUACAACAGUCUCUGCAAGCUCUCAAAAAGAUAUCUCAGGAACACCCAACGGCCUGUUUGCGUGCUGGUGCUCUUAUGGCAGUGCUAUCAUAUCUGGAUUUCUUCUCCACCGGUGUCCAGGUGGGUAAUUUUGUAACUUUUCUUUAAUGCUUUCCAUACUCGUUUAUCUAAUGCACUUUUUUUUUUACUUUUUGUAGCGUGUAGCAGUAUCUACCGCUGCAAAUAUGUGCAAGAAGUUACCUUCUGAUGCAUCUGAUUAUGUUAUGGAAGCUGUACCGGUACUGACAAACCUACUUCAGUAUCAUGAUGCGAAGGUAAACGAUCCCUUUUUUUUUGCUAUAAUGUGGUAUUAUCUAGUUCUGCUCUUGCCCCAGUUUCCUUCAUAGUAUGUUCGUACGGUGGCAGGUUUUGGAAUAUGCUUCUAUCUGUUUGACUCGGAUUGCCGAAGCAUUUGCAUCGUCCCCUGAUAAAUUAGAUGAAUUAUGCAACCAUGGCCUGGUGACUCAAGCUGCGACUCUUAUAUCCGCUAGCAACUCGGGAGGUGGGCAAGCAUCUCUCGGUGUUUCAACAUACACGGUAUGAGUUAAUUCUUUUGUGUUUUCUAUAUUUCGUUAUUCAUAGGAUGACAUUUUCAUCAUAUUUUCACAGGGAUUAAUCCGAUUACUUUCCACCUGUGCGAGCGGUUCACCUCUUGGGUGCAGGACAUUACUUCUUCUCGGUAUUAGUAGCAUUCUUAAGGAUAUUCUGUCGGGUUCCGGUGUCUCUGCUAAUGCAUCUAUAUCCCCAGCACUGAGCAGGCCUGCAGAUCAGGUACGGAUUUACUUUUUGACAUCACAGACUUUAUUUUGUUCAAUUCCUGAUAAAGUCUAUUCAGUAAAAAGUGUUUUGUUUAGGGGACACACCUUUAAAUAGAUCAUCAACAUAAAUUGUGUGUUGAGUGAGAUGCUUAGGGGACACACCUUCAAAUAGAUCACUUGCAUUUAAAUGGAUCACUUGCAUUUAGGAGUUUUGUCUAUUCAGUUCAAUGAUAAUCUUUUUUUUUUUGUAACACUCAGCUCAAUGAUAAUCUAUGUACAUGUAUUUUGAGCUUUAUUUAUGUUGUAACCGAUGGCUCAACUUUCAUAUGCUUGUUUUCUGGUAUGGUGUUAGAAGUGGUAUAGAUAAAAGUGCUUAGCGCUUCAUCAGUGUGCUCGGUCUUGUUUAUUUAACUUUUUUUAUCCCAUGACUCGCUAAUUCUUGAAUAUAUUCUUGAACAUGAUCAUGUGAGGUCUUUUGUUUCCGAAUUAUAACUCUUGUUUUGCAUCUUAGAUUUUUGAGAUAGUCAACCUAGCGAACGAGCUCCUCCCUCCACUGCCAGAAGGAAGUAUCUCCCUUCCUACUAGCGCAAACGCGUUAGUGAAAGGUUCAGGCCAAAAAAAGUCUUCUCCAAGUACUUCAGGAAAACAAGAAGAUUCUCCCAAAGUUUCACCUAGAGAAAAAUUACUUAGUGAUCAACCCGAACUUCUGCAGCAAUUUGGAUUGGAUCUUCUUCCAGUUUUAGUGCAGGUAAUUUUUUGUUGCAGUUGCUACAAGUUAGUGUUCAUACAACCUCCUGUAUGUCUAAUUACCCUUGUUUUCUUUCCUACAGAUCUAUGGUUCUAGUGUCAAUGGUACUAUUCGUCAUAAAUGUCUCUCAGUUAUCGCAAAGUUGAUGUAUUUCAGCACUCCAGAAAUGAUUCAAUCUCUAAUUGGUGACACAAAUAUAUCGAGGUAUGCUGGUUAUGUUUUAAAUUAGGUAUCACAUGGCGCAACUUCUUACAUUAUUUUUCCUAUGUAGCUUCUUGGCUAGUGUCUUGGCAUGGAAAGAUCCACAAGUCUUGGUUCCUGCUCUACAAGUUGCAGAAAUUCUGAUGGAAAAACUUCCUGAAACUUUCUCGAAAGUGUUUGUGAGGGAAGGGGUGGUUCAUGCUGUAGAUCAACUUGUCUUGGUUGGUAAACCUAGUUCUCAUGCUUCUACUGAUCAGGAAAAUGACUGUGUGCCUGGAUCUGCACGAUCUAGGCGUUAUAGACGGCGAAGUAGUAACGCCAAUUCUGAUGGAAAUCAGUCGGAAGAGCUUAAGAAUUCUGUGUCAGCUAGUAUAGGUGCAAACCAUAAUUCCAUGGAAUCUCCUACAGCGAGCUUCAUGCUAAGGGAAACAGUUAGCUCCUGUGCAAAAGCAUUCAAAGACAAGCACUUCCCGUCUGAUGGUGGGGAAUUUGAUGUUGGAGUUACAGAUGAUCUCUUGCAUCUGAAGAAUCUUUGCACGAAGCUAACUGCUGGUACAAAUGAUCAUAAAGUGAAAGGAAAGGGGAAAUCUAAAGCCUCUGGGCCAUGCCUCGGCGAUUUUUCUGCUAGCAAAGAAGAAUACUUGAUUGGUAUCAUCUCCGAGAUACUUGGCGAGCUAAGCAAAGGAGAUGGUGUCUCAACUUUUGAGUUUAUUGGCAGUGGUGUGGUAGCAGCAUUGCUUAACUAUUUUUCUUAUGGAUACUUUUCCAAAGAGAAGAUCUCCGAGGUUGAUUUGCCCAAACUUCGCCAGGAUGGGCUCAGAAGGUUCACAGCUUUUCUAGAAAUUGCACUUCCUUCUGAUGGUAAUGAGGGAAAGAUCCCUCCUAUGACUGUUUUGAUUCAGAAACUUCAAGAUGCUUUGUCUUCACUGGAACGCUUUCCGGUCGUCCUUAGCCAUCCCUCAAAGUCACUCAGUGGAAGUGCUCGUCUCUCAUCUGGAUUGAGUGCUUUGGCACAUCCUUUGAAGUUGCGGUUAUGCCGUGCACCUGGAGAGAAGGCACUACGUGAUUACUCCUCCAAUAUUGUUCUCAUAGAUCCUUUGGCAAGCAUAGCAGCAGUGGAGGAAUUUCUCUGGCCCCGAGUUCAACGCAGUGAAUCUGGGGUGAAGCCAGCAGCGCCUGUUGGAAACACUGAGCCAGGCACAUUACCUAGCGGUGCUGGUGUUUCAUCACCAUCCUCGUCAACUCCAGCUUCCACCACUCGUCAUUCUUCUAGAUCUAGAUCUGCAAUUAAAAUAGGCGAUGCCUCAAAGAAAGAACCUGUGCACGAGAAAGGUACCAGCUCAUCUAAAGGUAAAGGUGUUAUGAAGCCGGCUCAGCCGGAUAAGGGGCCUCAGACAAGGAGCAGUGCUCAAAGGAAAGCUGUUCUUGACAAAGAUACACUAAUGAAACCAGCUAGCGGAGACUCCAGCUCUGAGGUAUGUCACUGUAGAAAGUUCUGGAUUACAUGGUUGUUUAUUGUGUAACAUUAUAUUAUGUUUGUGGUGUGAUCUGCUUAUGCAGCACUAUCGUACUUAUAUUGCUUGCAGGACGAAGAAAUGGAUAUAUCCCCCGUCGACAUGGAUGAUGCUUUGGUUAUUGAAGAGGAAGACAUUUCUGACGACGAUGAGGAUGAUGAUGAUGAGGAUGUAAGUAUUCCCUCCCCAGUAUGUACAUUACAGACGCAAUUAUUUCUCUUGCUAACAACAUGAAAGAUGAUACUUUUCGCAAUAAUGCUUGCUAGCUUUCCGUAUUCUUAGAUAAGUUUACCAUAUUGAGCUCACCUUAUUUGGCACCUUUCCUUUUAGAACUGACUAAAGAGAAUAAUGAACUUUAUACCACAAUUUCUCAUAUUGAUCUGGUCUUGAAUUCAGGUCUUGGAUGACAAUCUUCCCAUGUGCACCCCUGAUAAGGUUCAUGAUGUAAAAUUGGGAGACGCAGUGGAUGAUGAGGGAGCCGGUCUAGCACCUAGCGGCCGACAGAUGAAUUCAGCUUUGGCAGGAAGUAGUGGAACAGCAACUGCAAGGGGAUCUAAUUCUACUGAUGCUGGCAUUGGGAAUCUUUAUGGUUCUAGGGGUGCACUCUCCUUCGCUGCUGCGGCGAUGGCAGGGCUUGGAGCUGCCAGUGGUAGAGGUAUCAGGGGAAGUAGAGACCUACAUGGGCGUACCCUGAAUCGAAGUUCUGAUGAGUCCUCUAAGUUGAUGUUUACUGCGGGAGGAAAGCAACUUAGUAGGCAUAUGACGAUAUAUCAGGCUGUGCAACGACAACUUAUGCUAGACGAAGAUGAUGAUGACAGGCUCGGUGGCAGCGAUUUCAUCUCCAGUGAUGGAAGCAGAUUAAAUGAUAUAUAUACUAUCAUGUACCAGAUGCCGGACAGCCAAGCGAAUAGGUUGUCUGCUGGUGGUGCAAGUUCUACCACACCAUCUAAAUCCACCAAAUCUGCUACUACUAAUGCAAGCGUAGAAGCUCAGUCGUAUAGGGCAUCUCUUUUGGAUAGUAUCGUACAAGGAAAGCUUCCAUGCGACCUUGAGAAGUCCAAUUCUACGUAUAAUGUUCUGGCGUUGUUACGUGUAUUAGAGGGUUUAAAUCAGCUUGGCCCUCGCUUAAGAGCCCAAACCGUUUCUGAUCGUUUUGCAGAGGGUAAAAUUACAAGUCUGGAUGAUCUGAAUACAACUGCUGCAAAGGUUUCUCAUGAAGAAUUCAUCAACAGCAAACUUACACCCAAAUUAGCUCGACAGAUCCAGGACGCGCUUGCUUUGUGCAGUGGAAGUCUUCCCUCUUGGUGCUACCAGUUGACUACAGCAUGCCCGUUUUUGUUUCCGUUUCAGACCCGGAGACAGUAUUUCUAUUCAACUGCCUUUGGGUUGUCGCGUGCAUUGAACCGCUUGCAGCAGCAGCAAGGUGCUGACGGCAGUGGUUCUACAAAUGAACGAGAGAUGAGAAUAGGGAGAUUGCAGCGCCAGAAAGUGCGUGUAUCCCGAAAUAGAAUAUUAGAUUCUGCUGCGAAAGUUAUGGAGAUGUAUUCUAGCCAAAAAGCUGUGCUUGAAGUAGAAUAUUUUGGUGAAGUUGGUACUGGUCUAGGCCCGACACUUGAGUUUUACACACUCCUAAGCCAUGAUUUGCAAAAGGUUUCCCUUGGGAUGUGGAGAUCAAAUUCUGGUGACAAGUUAUCUAUGCAAACUGAUAGAGAUGAGAUUCAAGACGGUAAAUCAGCAGCAGCUAGGGACAGAGAUAUAGUUCAGGCACCACUUGGGUUGUUCCCUCGGCCCUGGCCCUCAACUGCUGACGUAUCUGAAGGUAGUCGGUUUCAUAAAGUUGUUGAAUAUUUCCGCCUUUUAGGGCGCGUGAUGGCAAAGGCACUUCAAGAUGGACGGCUAAUGGACGUCCCGUUAAGUACAGCUUUUUAUAAGCUCAUUCUUGGUCAAGUGAGUUUUUUACUAUCAGUAACUUUUUUUAUUUAGCUAAGAGUGGACUAGUAGUUUCGACUUCUUUACGUUGUUCGUAAUUUCUUACUGCUUCUUUACUCACCUGAACAGGAGCUUGAUUUGCAUGAUGUUAUAUUAUUUGAUGCUGAACUUGGCAAGACUUUGCAAGAGCUUCGUGUUCUUGUUGGCCGUAAGCACUAUCUGGAAGCAGGCGGUGGUGACAACAGUAGCGGGAUUUCUGAUUUAUGUUUGCGUGGAUCCCGUAUUGAAGAUCUUUGCUUGGACUUCACCCUACCUGGCUACCCUGAAUACAUAUUGAGACCAGGAGAUGACAUUGUACCGUCUAAUAAGCUUUACAUCCGAUAUCUUACUAUUGUUUUAGUUCUUGUCCAUUGUUGCUGAUGCCGUGUACUGUUUUCUGUUCUAUUACAGGUUGAUAUUAAUAGUCUUGAGGACUAUAUAUCCCUGGUCGUUGAUGCCACUGUCAAGAGAGGAGUUGCCCGGCAGAUUGAAGCCUUCAGAUCUGGAUUCAAUCAGGUUAGCAGUUUCACAGACUCUCCGCUUUGUCUCUUACUUUUCCUGUAGGCUUUGGCUUUGGCUUUGGCUUUGGCUUCUAAAUUACAUAGGAGUGGUUUCUUUUGGUUCAUACUUUAUAAUCUUUUAAACAACAGGUUGAUGAUAAUUUAGUCUUACCUUUAUUAUCUUUACAAGAAUUCUCUGUUCUUACACAUGAUUACCAGGUCUUUGACAUAAAAUCUCUACAAAUAUUCACCCCUUCUGAGCUGGACUACUUGUUGUGUGGUCGUAGAGAGUUGUGGGAGGUGAGUUUUCAUCUAUUUUUUGAAUUUCCACUACCCAUUUGACUCGAAUCGACUAGAUAAAAUUUUCUUUUCUAAAACCUUUCUUUUAUUGCAGGCGGAGACUCUUGUUGAACAUAUCAAGUUUGAUCACGGUUAUACUGCAAAAAGUCCGGCAAUCAUUUUCGUAAGUUACUUUCCGUACUAGUUUGUUAAAAAACCAAUUUUCUUUUACAAUCAAGCUUUUUGCUUCUUUAUUGUUGAUUCCUUUUUGACUUUGAUUUUCACCCUGGCGGUAGUUAUUGGAGAUCAUGGGAGAGCUAACAGCAGAUCAACAGCGGGCUUUCUGCCAGUUCGUAACUGGAGCUCCUAGGCUUCCUCCUGGUGGCUUAGCUGUUCUCAACCCAAGGCUGACGAUUGUGAGAAAGGUAAGAAACCUUUACUUAUAUAUUCGGUUAAAAAGCGUUUUUGUAAUUGAGCCAAGAGGUUCUAGUCAUGUUAAACUAGACCCACCAAGCCAUAUAUCAGAAUACAUCUACACGUGACGCAUUGUUGUGUUUGCAAGACUUGCUAAGAUGAAUUAGCUCUUACUCGAUUUAAGUUGUGUAUUUGCUUCCAAUUGAUGUGUUUUUGGCUUGAUGCAGCUCUCAUCAACCUCAAAUGCUGCUGCCAAUGGGACAGGGGCUUCGGAAACAGCAGACGACGAUCUUCCCAGCGUCAUGACUUGCGCCAACUACCUUAAGCUCCCUCCUUAUUCUACAAAGGUAACUCGUCUCUCUUUUUUUAAGUCUACGGUUUCUGUGUUUGGUUGGUUGGGGUGAGCCUGAACACGAGUUUGUACCUGAAACAGGAAAUCAUGUACAAGAAACUGCUCUACGCCAUCAACGAAGGGCAGGGGUCGUUCGACCUAUCCUAGGCAUCUCUCUCUGUUGUGGCUGCGGCUAGAAACCACCAACCCUCUCUCUUCUUUGUACAUUUUAUAUCGGAAGACUCUGAUUUUGCACUUUGAAUGUUAUUUCUGUUAAACCAUGAAUUAUUAAAAUUAGGUUCAAUAUUUUUCAUGUGCAAGUAACAUAUUAAUACAUGGAGGAUAAAAAUAAAAUCAAAAGACAAACUUGAAUAAUUUUGGUUGCCUUUAAAAUUCGUUUGAAAAUUCCGAAGCAAUUAUAUAUAGUGUGAAUAAAAGUCGUCAGCUGAAGGAAUAAAGGUACAAAGGUACAAAGGUUUAGGUGUUGUAUGAUCCAAAAUUCUGUUUUUUUUUAAAGACGGGCUCUAUCAGUCACAGCAGUUGACUGUAAGAUAUCAAAGGAAUAAGAAACAGUUGUUCGUUUGUAGUUUUCUGGAGAUUGAACAAGAGAACUCGUCUUCGUUUCAUCAGUUUUCUUUUUGAUAAAAGUCAAUUCGACAUAGAUAUCUCUAGACACGAGAAACAAAAGCAUAAAUAGGAAAACAUUACAAUUAUAAAAGAGCGUUACGAGUACAGAGUCCAAACUAGGCACAAGAAACCUACCAUAUGGUGGUAUUAAUAUACAAAAACAAAAACAACACACCAAUACAUUAAAAAACAGCUGAAAGGGUCCACGCAUGCAGCUAGAAUGACAAAUCACAUGACCACGCAAGCAGCUGGAUUCUCAUCGCUAAAGGCAGUAGUGUAGCGGACCUCAGUGGAGCUAGCACGAGCCAGCUGCGAAACUCCAGGGUCAUCCGCUCUUCUCACAUAACCCGAGGGUGCUUUCUUGUCGUAGACUCCGGAGGCGUAAGGAUGAGCCACGACGUCAUAGGGCACGUAGGGCCAGAGCUCGACCUUCUUGCCGGUCCUGUGAGCCAUACGGGACACCACCUUGUUGGGUUCGACGUAGCCAACAACAGUGACUUUGUGGGCUUUGGGCUCCAGCGACACAGAUGAGACACCCUUCAUGCCUUCCACCGACCGCCGCACUUUGCGCUCGCAGCCUUCGCAGUCCAUCUUCACUUUGAUCUCCACCGUCUAUUAAUUUAUGAUGUUAAGAAAACGACAAACAGAAAAACGUUAAGUGAUACUAUUACUUAAAAAAAAUAUCUAAGCAAAAUAGUACUACUAGUAGUAAACGUCUCUGAGAUAAUCAUAUCAUGACUGGUGAGAGUUAGUUCACGUGAUUAUGAUUGUUUUCUUUUUUAAAGAAAAAUAAAUAAUCAUAGAUUCCGACAGAGAAGAUAAUUAUACUAAUAAAGUACAACUAAUCCCGGUGUAAAUCUAACAGAUGGAUGGAGCUUGUGUUCCAGAGUAAAACGAAUCUAUUUGGUCGGCGUUAAUAACAUUAAUUCAAAGAUUCAAACACACACAAAAAACCUUCAAAUAAAAUCAACAAAAUUCUAUUUUCAUGAUUGUAAUUGUGUAAACUAUAUUAAGAAAAUGAAAGAAGAAAGAGAAAAAAUCAAAUUCAGAAACAAUAUUUUUCCACCAACUAUCUGAGUUUUCUGUUCUAAGUAAUUAAGAAGCAAGAGAUAUAAAAAAAUUUGAAAAGCAUAGUUAAGAUAACUGCUCCUUAAUUGUAUAUUUAUGGAACCUAAUCAACGAGAUCUACGAAAGAAAACAGUCCACAUCUCACUCAAAACUUUCCUUCUCAUCGAACUUAGCAGAGUCGUCACUUUCCCAAAUAAUCUUCUUUUUGUUUUUUUUUUCAAAAAUCAAGAUCUAAAAUUAGAACACGAAAGAAGGUGGUGGGGGUUACCUGCAACUGUCUGCGCUUUUUAAUCUUGUGACCAUGAGAGCAAUCAAACAUUUCAGAGACAUGAUCAAGAACACCCAUUUUCACUUUUAACACUAGAAAGAACCUGAGAGAUCUAUCGAAGGAAGAAUUUUUAAAAAGGUAACCUCUAGGAGUAGGAGAAGAGAGAGUAUAAAUGAGUUGCACAGAGCACAGUGAUAUCAGAGGCAAAGGGAAAGUUGAUAGGAAGUAAAUAUGAUAGAAAUGAUAAUUUAAAUAGGGGAGAAAGAGGAUACAAAGACAAUAAAAUAGUAGUCCGUAAAUAUCAAUUCAAAGUUAAAACUAAUUAUUUAUUUAAUUCAAAAGUUAAUAAUUAAAUGGAUGAUGGCUCACCAUUCCUCUCUUGUCCCACCACCAGUUUCAUAGUCGACCUCUCUAAAUCUUCUCUCACAUUUUUACCAAAAAAAAAUCUUAUCUUCAUUAAUUUUUUUUGAAUAUAUAUAUAUAUAUACAUUUUUUUUUAAUUACCUGAUUUCAGUUUAGUAUUCUGAGUGUUCGGUUUGGCUAGAGUUGGAUUAAUGUAAUAAAAAGGAGAAAAAUAAAAAGUUAUACCAUAGUUUGAAGAAGAAUAUAAAAAUUUUACAAUAAAAAAAACUUGUGUCAAGUCCUAUAUGACUGAUCUUGGGAUGGAGACAGACAGACAAGAACGGUGCGUUAGAUUCACUGCUGCUUUUUAUAUACAGCAUAUUUUUUUUAAAAGUAAUAAUUAAUUUUGAUGGUAUGGGAAACAGAAGAGCUAUUGCUUUUGGAUAAUCGAUGACUCGCAAGUCUCACCGACGUGCCGACUCCUUUCUUUAUUUGUCUCAUUCGAAGUUUGGGCCUCUGUUGGAUCCUUAUGAGGCCUACCAUUUUUUACCAUUUGUUUAUCGGUCUCUCUGACCCAUGAGAUUCAUUUAUCCAAAAUUCAAGAAACGUUCAUGGUCAACGUCACUUUCAAAUCUUCUUAGGGUCUUGUUCAAACGCAUCGAUUAUAGUUACGUACGGUUAAGAAAGUUUACGGAUGCGAAUGAUUACAAUUUUUAAUAGAUUUAAGAGAUUUAUACCACUGAUAUUACGGUUAAUUACCAAAUACAACAGCGGUUAGAAUAUAUAAAUUUUUUUAUUUUAAAAUUUUAUAAUUUUAAUUAAAAUAUAAUAGAUAUAUUUUAGCAUUUUAUAAUUCUAAUUUUAAAGUUUUAUUGAAUAUUUUAAUUUUUAUAUUUAUAUUGUUUAUAAAAAAUCGAUUAUCUUUCCGCAACCAUAAACACUAGUUGUAACUAACUUUUGAAUUUAAGAGGUUUAAAGCCGUUUGAAGUGGUUCACGACGGUUUGAGUGAUUGUUGCAAAACGCCAACAACCGGUACUAACCGCAAAAACUGCGUUUGCGGAUGACAGCGGAAAAACCAGUCAUGUCCUCAGACGUUUGGUAAGUUGUACUUGCUACCGAGUAUUUCGUAAUCGAUCAACCGUGUAUGUGUAAACAAACUAUAUGAAAGGCUUAACCAGUAACUUUGCAGUGGGGAAAAUAAGCGAGAAUAUUAAUUUUGGGUGAAGAGUGUAAUAAGGAAAACAAACAAGGGGACAAAAAUAUUUAACAAUUCGAAAUCGUUGGAUUGCUUCGGGGAAGAGAAGAAGCGAAGAACCUGAUUCGAUUUUUUUAAAAAAAUAACUCUGCUGGGCACACUCUUCCGUUAUUACUUCUACAGUCCUUAUUCUAAUCAAACCUGGUGGGUGAGCUUGAAAUUGCUUUAUUUUUCAAUCUUCCAACUUGAUUAAAAUCUCCGUCUUGAGAAUCGAUUCGACCUAUACUGCUAAGUGUGUUUACGUAUCUAAGCAUUUCCCUUGUUGGGUUCUCAUAAAGUUUGCUCCUUUACCACUUAUCUUCGUGUUCAUUGCUCAGGUGUUGUUAUCUGAUGGCUAGUAAUAAGCAGAGACCGGCCAAGCUCUCCGUCUACCUUUACAUUCCCAAUAUCGUUGGUGCGUCCCCUUAGUCUUUUUUUUUCUAUAUGUUUUAAAGAUGACAUCUUUUUUUAAGGAUGAAAAUGAAAAAUAUUGGGGGGGGGCAGGGUACAUGAGAGUUGUAUUGAAUUGCAUUGCCUUUGCUGUGUGCUUCUCCAACAAGACUCUCUUCUCCCUCUUGUACUUUUUCAGGUCCACUCUCAUCUUCUUCUCUGCGCUCUUUUGUGUUUAAAAUAGUAUCCUUUGAUCUGAUGCGCUUUUACAGUUUCUGUUGUGAUGCUGUUGAUGGAUGGUGCGCUCGUAAAUUCAACCAAGGUCUCAUUUUCCAGCUCCGACCAAAUUUUAUAUUUGUUUAUGGUUUGCUCUUAAGAUCCUGACAUUGAUCAAGAGUCUGGCUCGAUCGAUGUUACUAGUUUUGAGUUUCAUCUAGUCGGAUAUUCUAAUUGAACAGCAUUUUUGGAGCUUCAUUUAGUUGUUCUGUAGUGUCAAGAUCUUGAUAGUGACACACGUAUCUUGUCCUUUCAGUUUCUACAUUUGGAGCUGUUCUUGACAUGGUCACAGACAGGUUAAUCUUCUUCUACAUAUAUAACCCGGUAUAUUCAACUUACUUUCUCUCGUGUAAUAACAAUCUAUCUAUUAUCCUCGUUUUGCUUACAGAGUCAGCACAGCGUGUCUUCUCGUGAUUCUCUCCCAAAUAUACAGGUGGGAGUGUUCUCUUGAUGGAUUUUGGCUGUUUUUUAUAUUUAAACAUAGCCUUGAGCUUACACACUACUAUAACACAGGCCUAGCUUGGUUUUCCUCUCACUCCUGGCCUUAGAUAUUGCUAGUCACUGGCUCCAAAUGUACAGGUACUCUUUGUUCUCUUCAUUCAACUUCUACAUUUGUAUACGCUAAGCCAGAAAAUAAUAAUACUGGAGUCACAGUACAUUUCUAUCAGGGAAGACCAGCCAUAAGGAUGUGAAAGAUAGCACGAGCUGGCUGUUUAGACUAUACUAUGGUAACCGUUUGUUCAUGGGUUAUUGCUGUGUUUCCUGCGAGGUUCUUUACAUAAUCCUCUUUCUCAUAGCAGAGAACCAUACUGAAAAUCUGAUGAACGUGAGCUUCUCCUCUCUUCUCUUCUCUUCCCCUUUUAAUCUCUAUUAGCUAGUCUUUUGUUCUAAAAUAUCUCUGGGUUCCAUUCUUCAGGUAGUAGUUGAAUCAUUGACACAGUUUUCACCGCUCUCUUUACUCUUGGCUUUGAGUAUAUUUGGUUGGUCGAUCAAGCAGAUCAUCAAUGUGAUUCAGGUAUAUAAAGCUGAUCCACAACUAAUCAGAUUCCCUCCAACUCCAAGAUGGUAUUAAGCAGUUUCUGGUUCUUAUUGUCUUUUUUGUUGUUGUUUCUUUGGUGACGUGUCAGAUGAAAACGGCUGCAGAUGUUUGUGUCUUGUAUGACAUAGAGAAGCAGCAUAAGCCCUGAGGUUUUGUGCUCUUUGAAUCGUCUUUGUUUCUUUUAACCUCGUGUGUAUUACACUGUGUACAUAUAUGGAUGCAUCUUGCUUAAUGGUGGAUGUAGAUUAUACCCUUUGUCUUGCCUUUGUUUUCUAUAAUAUGAAAGACCCUUUUAACUAUUUUAGCAGAUGCAUUUAAUGUAGUGUUUAUGUUUUCAAUAAAUAAUCGCCAAAAACAAGACAAUGAUUGAUCAGAAGAGCUUCUCCAACACAGAUUCUCCAUCAAACUUGUCCACCUUGGAGCUAAGAAACGCCAACCUUUUCUCCAACCCUGCUCUCUUCAUCUCCAAAUCUCCCAAACGCCCUGCCGUCUCCAUCAACCCUUGACGGAAACUCUUCACCUCAUUCUCCUUCCAUCUCACCUCUUUCAGUAUCUUCUCCAUCUCUUGUCUCCCAAGCAAAGCCUCCCUCUCACACAUCCCUUUCUCCACCGCCGUCUUGUUAUGUCGAUCAUAGCAUCUGGCCGCUUCAAGAAUCUCGUUUAAAGCCUCCCUUAGCCAACCGGCUCUGAUUUUGACAGACUCCACGUCUUCAACGACCGCUAGCAUUUCCAAGAUGUGAGUCUCCUUUAGUUGCUUCAGAGGCGUUGAUUGGAGUUGGUUAACCACUGAGGCUAGUGUUUCUAGAAAGUAAGAUCUCGUGGGAAGCGACUCGAGCUUUGAACCGGAGGCUAUGUCUCCAUGCUUGUCCAAGAUUUGCUGCAGAGUGUCCGAGACGCUCGCUCUGACCUUAUAGCUCCCUACAGAGACGUACGACUCAGACAUCUUUGACUGCGUUUCCUCCCCUGCUAAGCUCUUGCAUUCGAUAAAGGAUGUUGGUUGAGUUUGGGGGAUCCUUGACCCUGGUCUUGAGUUUCUUGCCCUGUAUUCUUCAGCCUUUGGCCUAGUUUCUGGCGUCUCAGGUGACGACUUGAGGAGGCCAGUACUAUGCGAUAUCGGCUGAGUUUGUGGGAUCCUAGGUUCAAGGUACUUUCCUUGAGGCUCUGGAGUCUUAGACCGCUGUCUUGAGGAUCUCUCCCUGUGUUCUGGUGACCUCGCUCUACGUUCUGCAGUCUUUGGCCUAGGUCCCAGAGAAACACGCGCAUGUUCAGGUGUCCUUGGUCCAUUAUCAUUGAUGUUGGACCGGUGUUCAGGCGUUCUAGGUCUAUUUUCUAGUGCAGUGCUAUUAUCAGUGGUGCUAGACCUUCGCUCAGGUGUCCUAGGCCUAGAAUCAGGGGUGCAAGGCAUGUGCUGAUGUGUCCUAAGAGGAUGCUCAGGUGCUUUAGGCCUAGUCCUAGGUGUCAUUUCAUUGUCUAGACCAUUAUGAAUGAGCGCACGGUGAUCAAACUGCAGAGAGAAAACAUGAGACUCUCACCAAAAAAUGUAUGCAGUAAAAAAAAGCAAGAGAAUAAAUGCUUACAUUUGAUGCGAAAGAAUCUUUCUUCCAAUACACAGAUAGAGAAGGUGACAUUGGGAGCCAAUUUAUGACUGAUUCAGGUUUGUUUCCAUGUAGAGGAGAAGGCGGCCUGGACAGAAGGUUUGCGUUGAAGGUGUCAUCAGAGGAUGAGAAUGAGGGAGACUCAUCUGAUUCAACCAUCCUCUUAGCGUAAUAGCUAGGAAGUGGCCAUCUAUUUUCCGCAACAACACGAACCGGACUGAUAGGAGGACUGUCCUUUCUCCAAGCUGGCUUACCAAAGCCUUGUACAAAAGACAAGUUACAAAGAUUCUUUCUAUUAAUCAAAAAUAUCAGCAGCAAAAAUGUUUGAAAAUGCAAUCAAGAUGAUAAACUUGCUUCUUACCAAACGGCUUCUUCUCCUUCUUGGGGACAUCUCGAGAGUUGAUCCUCUCCAAACAUCGAUAAUUGCACUCAUGGUAGGGAUUGCCUGCGUUGGGACAAUCAUGAUAUACUUUUCCAGACAUGUUACUUCUUUCUCUCACAGAUCUAACAAAGAAAGCCUGUGGCCUCAACCAGAGCAAGCAAAAAAGAAGAGAAAUUCUUUAUAAAAUUGAAUCUUUCAUCAAAACAUGACAAGAAGCAAACAAGUUUUAUCACCAAAAGACGGAGUCAACGUUUGAGAGAAAAGAGGUGUAUGGAAUGAAUAGUUCUUUAGAAGACAAGACACGGGACUGAACUUGGAAGGAUUCACCAAAAAAUGAUCAAAUUUCAAAGUAAAGCGGACCUGAACGGUUGAUGUUUUUUUGUUUUCUUGCAGUGCAAGAGUACAAAAAACUAGUGCUUAUUUUCUUCCCCACAGAGACUAUAACUGCUUACAAGAUUGACCCAACAACACAAGUUGUGGUCUUGAAUCAGUGAGAGAAUAAAGCCGACAUAAACACAUUCUACUUCGACGGUGUUGGACUCUGUACAAAUCCUUGUAUUUAAAAAAUAAAUAAAAGGUCACUGGUGUGGUGUGUAAUGAAAUCACAUAAACAAAAUAUUCAAUUAAGAUCCGUUGGUGGGCCAGUAUCAUAGCUUCACGGGCCUUGAACCCAAAACAAGCAUAUAUAUGGGCCCAUAUAUAUUCAUAUUCAAACAGAUGUAAAAAAAGUGUAUUAAACGUGGAGAAGGACGACUUCUCCUUGAAACUUAUCGACUUUGGAGUGAAACAUGUCGAGAUUCUUGCUCAACCUCGAUCCCUUCAUCUCUAACUGCCCCAGCUUUCCCGCCACCGCCGUCACCCUCUCUCUGCACUCCCUGAUCUCCUUCUCCCUCUUCCCCAGCUCCUCCCUCAUCUCCUCCAUCUCCCCCUUCCUCGCCUUCAUAUCCCUCUCGCACGCCUCCCUCUCCGCCUUCGCCGCCUCGUACUCCCCCGCGCACUCCACCGCCUCCCCCAGCUCCGCCACCGCCUUCUUCAGCCACGUCACCUCGAUCUUCACCGACUCCAUGUCCUUCACCACCGCCGCCAUCUCCGCCACUCUCGUCUUCGUCAGAUCCUUCAGUCCAGACGUCCUCAGCUCCAUCACCACGGCGGCUAGGGAUUCGAGGUAGUAGGACCUCGUCACGUUGGACUGGAGCUUCGAGGAGGCGGCGAUGUCCCCGUGCUUGGAGAUGAUCGCCUGGAGCGUUUCCGCCACGCUCGACUUCACUCUGUAGUUGGCCACGGAUACGUAGGACUCGGAGAUCAUCGAUUGGCUCUCUUCCUUGAGUCCUCGCAUUUUGGCGAUCUCCUGGAUCGAGAAGCUCUGUGACUCGUCCGCUAGCUCCGGUGGCUCGUACUGCUUCUCUUGCUCGUAGGUUUCCGCCGCAAUGAUUUGGUAGUUGUGGUGAACAGGCUGCAUAUGUUUAUUUAUUAAGGUCCAUAAGAUCAUAGAAACAAUGGUGAAAGAGAGAGAGAGAGAGAGAGAGAGAGAGAGAGAGAGAGAGAGAUUCAUACAGUGGUGUUGGCGGAGACUGGGAUGGAACGAGUUGGGGUGCCAAUUUCUGGGAAGAGGUAGGUGGAGUGGUUAUCAUCAUCACUGGAUGAAUAGUAUGCUCCUCCAUGAAGUGGACUCCGAGGAGGGCUGUCCUGCCGCAUAACGUAGCCAUCUGGCUCAUACAUUGCUUCCAUUUGCUCAUCAUUAUGAUUGUUGCUGCGACGGUCAGGCUGCGAUUUAUUUAAGAGAGCUGAUUAUUUAUUGUCAAGAAUAUGUUUUAUCACUAGAGAGAAGCUCAGGGCUUGAGAAUGUUGUUGAGUACCGUUCUGUAUUGUUGUGGUGGUGGCGAACGGGUCGCAGCUGGAUGAAAUGGGCUUGGUGGAGAGCUGUUUCGUGGUGUUACUUCGCCGUCUCGCUCAUACACUUCCUCGGAUUGCUGAUUGUCAGGGUGGUUUCUACGACGAUCAGGCUGUUAGAAUUAGAAUAACGAACUUUAUUGUCAGGUUAAGUGAAUCACUUUAUCUGUUUCUGGAAAAUAAGGCUGAGUUUUAGAGUACCGUUCUGUAUGGUUGUGGUGGUGGUGGCGAACGUCUUGCGGCUGGAUGAAAGGGGCUCGGUGGAGAGCUGGUUCGUGGUGUUACUUCGCCGUCUUGCUCAUCAUCAGGGUGGUUUCCACGACGAUCAGGCUGCAGAAUUAGAAUAACCAACUUUAUUGUCAGUUUUAAGUGAAUCGCUUUAUCUGUCUCUGGAAAAUAAGGCUGAGUUUUAUGGUACCGUUCUGUAUGAUUGUGGUGGUGGUGAUCGGUUUGCUGCUGGAUGAAAAGGGCUUGGUGGAGAGCUGUUUCGAGGUGUUACAUCACCAUCUCGCUCGUACAGGUCUUCAGAUUGCUGACGAUCAGGCUGCAAUUAGAGAGAGACUUUUAUGUAAUGUCAUCUAUGCGGCUCGUUGUGUACUCAAGAAUGAGAAACAAGACUUACAGUUCUAUAUGGUGAUGGAGAGCGGUUUCCGGCUUGACGAAAUGGGCUCCCAGGAGCUCUGUUCUGAAACAUGUUAUUGGCCUCAGGCUCAUACAUUGCCUCGUAGUGGUCUGCAUCGUGUUCUCUGUGGCGAUCAGGCUGAAAUCAAACAUUAGAACCAAUGCUUAGUGGCUGAUUGGUAUGAACAUGGAUCAUAAUAAUCAACAGCGCUUUAGAUUUUGAGUACCGUGUGGUAUGGAGAUGGAGAAGGGCUUUUGAAUGGGUGAAAGGGGCUUGCAUUGCUUCGGGUAUCUGCCUCAUACGUUCGAUCCUGCUGUUCUCGGCUAUACUCGCUUGACUUUCUACGACGUUCAGGCUGCAAUAGAGGACAGUAUCAUGUCAGUAAUAAUAAGACCAUGUCCUUGAACCAUCAAAGACCGACUCUGUUAUUUUACUAUAUCUCUAAACAACACCAAUUCAAAGACGGUCAAAAGUACCGUGCGGUUUCCAGAGGGAUGAAAGGGGCUUGAAGGAGCGUUAGUCUCUGGCUCAUAACUCAUCCUCUCCUUUCUUUCUCUACGUUCAGGCUGCAAUAAGGGGAAAACUCAAUCUCAUCUACAGAUUCAAAAAUUUUGUUUGGCGGCUGAAACAGAUAAUAGGUGUUUAUGUAAUAGAGUACCGUGCCAUAUCCGUACACAGGAGGCCUGGGGUGGGAGUUGGGGACGCGUUCAGACGCCGGUUGUUUCGGGUAUGUUCUUUGUUCACGGGAGAUAGGGAAAUCAUACUCUGUCUCGGCUCUUUUGUUGGAGAGAUACGAUGGUGGCGGGGAUCUACCAGCGGCGGGAUGAGGAGGGGUCGCCGGAUUGCUCUUGCUCGCGCUUUUCUUCCCGAACAGUCCUGAAGAGACGUACCAAACAAAAUAAAACUGGUCAACGUUUGGAUUUAGCUUAGUCAACGGAAGUUAUCAACAUAAGAAGAUACUUCUUGUAAGAUAGGAUUUGAGAAAAUGAUCCUUGUCUGUAACCAGAUUUAAACAUUUCUGGCGACUUUUUCCGGUGGUAUUCAUAUCGGACAGAGUGCAAGUGUGAAGGGACUUUCCAGAGUUGGAAAAAUUACCUGAUCGUUUUCCAUCUUUCUUUGAACUGAAGAAGUCCAUAUUGCACAAGAUGGGGCUAAACUGGAUCGGUAAAUAAGUUGCCUGUAAAACCGGAAAAUCAGAUAACCAUUUAACUGGUUAUGUAUGUAAGUAUAUACACGCCCGCGUUCAUUACCUGGAAUUUUUGAAGCAGGGAGCUGGGUUGUGAGCUGUUGUUGCCGGAGAGAGAUGGCUUUUGGUUAGUUUCGUCUUUGCUACGUAUUACUUCAUAUGAUUUUAUAUAACGAGUCAGAGGAGCCUAUAAUGCUAAUUGAAAGUCUACCAUACUUAUUCAUCUGACUUUGACUAUUACAAACGGACAAGAUCGUAAUCAUUAUUUAAUUGCUUCCAUCUAAUCUUCUACCACUUGUUUUCUUUUCUUUGUUUCAAGUAGCCGCAGCCAUGAUUUACUUGGUCAAUGGUACUCUGGCUCUGAAAAAAAAUCUACUUUGAAUAUUUCUGACUACGUUAUGAUUGUUUUUUUCUGAUUAGUGAGCCUAUAGAUGGGCUCAUAAGUCAUAUGCAGUGCCCAAUAUAACCACCAAUCACGAAAUGGGCUAAAAUUAAAGGAAAUAAGACUAAAUCCUCUUUUUUAUCAACCAACCAGGAUUGAUAGGAAAAAUGUUCGGUUACAAACAAACCAGAAGGAUCAAGAUGGGAAAGCUAAUGCAGAUACAAGUGUCAUUCGGGAUAAAUGCAUCAGCACACGUUCGUUGAUUGUGUCUGUGGUGGUUUUGUCUUCAAGGGUGCUUCUCCUACUCGGCUACAAGGGCUUGGAGGAAAAUGUAUACAGGCCGUGUAGACUGUGGACAUAAUGUAUACGUUGGCAAGGACGUGAACUGUCUGAAGCGUCUCUAUGUGGUGAUUUCGUGGCAGGCCGUGUGGACAUAAUGAAUCCAGUUCAAUGGUACGAGCAUUUUCAGAGAAUAGCGAUGCAGUCAUGCAGAUCAUGUGAUCGAAGGAGGACCGCAGAGUUGCCUAGGAAGCGUUUAAAGAGAAUGUGAAUACUGAAUAGAGUUCACAUUGUGACAAAUAAUGACUUCUACGUAAAAGGUAAAAAAAAUAUCUCCACGCGCGCGAUGAUAACCAAUCCCACUCUCAUCAAAUGCGCACGAAGCUCGUUUAAGUCUGGAAGUCUAUAACCCACAGAUUUCAGCCCUUUUUGACAUAAUUUAUUAGAAAGGGAACGACCUGAAGCGCGUUGACUGCCGUUUGCAUAAUGCCCUGUGAAUAAUAAACUUUUUUAAUAUUCAAUAAUACGAAUAACUAUUUCGAUUUUCUUCAAAUCUCACUUUUUUUUUUUUCAAAUCUCACUUCAUCAACUUUUUAAUUAAUAAAUUUUAGAAAUGAUCUGCACGUUGCAUGGAUUGAACUUAAAUCAAAUUAUAACAAAUUACUAGAUUUUGACUCGCGCUUGAGAAACACGGAUAACUUUUUGGUAUUAAAAAAUAAUCAAGUUGCAUCAAUUUAGGAAAAAUAAUUAAGUUGCAUCAAUUUAGGAACAACCAAAAUAACUAACUAUAUAAUUAUAAAAAAUAACUUUACAUAAGAUUUAUUAAGUUUCUAAUGAAUAGGUCCAACAACUUUUUAUAAGUAGAUUUUUUUAAAAAUCCUUCCCUUUUAAUAGUAUAAAUUUUUAAUGUUUUUAAUUUAAUUUAAUUAUAAAUGUUUUAGCCAAAAUCAAUAUUUUUAGUUCAUUUAAAUCAAUAUACGCUAUUCAUAAAAAUUAUAAUAUUUGGUUAUGAUAUUUUAAAUUAUGUUUUAUCUUAACUCGAUUAAUAACUAACUAAUUUUUUUUUGAAUUACAAAGAGUUUUUAAGUUUUACAUUUCAUCUACUUAUGGCUAUUUAUAAUCAUUUCAUCUUCUAUAUUUACCUUGUGCUAAUAUUACUUAUCUAUGAUUUUUUAAAUUCUAUACUUACAUAUUCUAGUUUUCUGAGUAACUCCUAAGUUUUAAUUAAUAUAUUAAAAUUUCAAAAAAAAUCAAAGCAAAUUAAUUGUCACUUUAAUAUGAGUGAGGACAUUGGAAGAUGGUUGGAUAGUGAAGUUUGAUCCUGAAGUGAAAGGUUGAUUGAGAAUGGUAGGAUUUUGUGUGAUUGAUGGGAGCUAUCUUCUGCAAGUAGGCCUCCCCUCCUCUCCUCUCUAUUAUUAUAUUUUCCUAUUAACUAACUUUCCCUUUAUUAUCAUCAUUGUUAUAAUUUUUUCUCUUUAAAUGAUUUUUGUAUGCCAUAUAAGUUCACAUACACACCAUCGCACAGUGAUUCAAAAUCUCUUCACUGAAGUUAUGUUUUUGAAGAAUGAAAGGAUAGAAAUACAAAUAUACUUGUGCUCUCGUCCCGUUUGUUGGCUAGGAAUAGUUUGUUAUCCAUCUAGAUGCAAUGCAGCUACAUCAUAAAUUGGGUCUUCCAUUAAAACAUUGAUAUCAUGUAGCGAGCUCUUAGCUCACAUUAAAAUGUGUAUUUUUUGGAACAAUGACAAAUGGUCACAUAUGUAAGCUAGACUGUAGAACAAUGGCAGUUUAUAAAAUUAUCAUGGACUAUUCAUAUUUUAGAAACAAAUUCUAGUUUUCUUAGUAACAUUCAAAUAGUUUUGUUUACCUUUUUUAGCAGAAGUUUUAGUAGUUGCUUUUGUAUUAUUGAUGACUACAAAAGUACAAAUAACUAAAAAGAGUCGAUGGGGUUGGGAGAGAAUGGGCCAACUUGAGUGGUAACAUACAUUAGUAUAAAAUCAAAUAAAUGUUAGGUAAAGUGACAUAUCUCACUUUAUCCCAAUCAACUUCGUGUCUCAAAAAUUAUAUAACUUUUUUUAUUUUAAAUUUUGUUCAUUCUUCAAGCCCAAGUCUAUUUUCUAUUUAUAUUUUCUCAUGGUUCUUGGACCACCACUUUUAUGGGCAUUAGACGUUUGUAAAAGAAAACAAGAACAAUGAAAGAGUCAUGAAUAAAUAUACAUUACGAGUAAUUUAUAUAAAUAGUAAUAUUUACACUGACAUAAGUGUUUGAUUACAAAAUACAAGGAAUAAGAUAAAGGUCUGAAACAUUUUUAUGCCGGCCAAUAAUGGUAUAUCUAAUCUGAUAAGAGUAUGUAACUAGAAUACAUAUUAUUAGUGGUUAAUUUGUUUAUUAGAAAAAAAAACAAUUAAGCCAAGGUGGAUGGAUACAAUGUUUCAAUUUUUUUUUUAAACAUUUGUAUCAUAAUCUAUUCAUGAAGCAUGACCAAAUAUAAAUGGAGAUUACACUAGGAAUUAUCUACAGGCAAGCUAUAGAGGAUGACAAGUGCCGUCUGCUUGGCACAGAACCAUGUAACAAGCAAUGUAGUAGUAGUGGAUGAUUCUUGUCUUUUUUUUGAAGAAAAAUAUUCCAUUUGACCCACUUGCAAGGCUUUGGAUAUGUAACAUUUGUUUAAUGGGUUAAUUCAGGUUAGAUUUUAGCUAAAAAUGAGUGAAUAAGGUAGAGCACCAAUAAGUAAAUAUUAAAAACUCAACUAUUGAGGUAAUUUGCUACAUGAUUAUUGCUCACUGUUUUGGUUGUUGUUCAUUGACUCUCUCUCUCUCUAGAGUUGUGGAGCCCAAAGACGCUGGGGUGGGGGGGACCUUUGAUGUGCUGGCUCCGACCUCGCCAUCGUUGGUCUUUUAUGGGUCUUGUCUGCUACACUCUAGUGAGAAGAAAGAGAGAGAGAGAGAGUGUGAUUAAAUAAAAAAAAUAUAAACUUUGUACCGUGUUGUAGCUUGUAGUAAGAAAAGAAGAGAGGUGAAAAUAAAAAAAAACACAAAUACAAGAAUGAUGAGAGACUUGUCGUUCGGCGACUUGACCAAAUCUUAAUCAGAGCUCUUAACUGUUUCUUCAUUGACAUAUAGAAAGAUCAUAAGUUGCGAGCAAGAGACCAUUCUUUCUUUCAACUUUUAUUAAUAUUCUAUAGCAUUUGUUAAUUGAUCUUCUUCUUCUUCUUCCUCAUCCCUUCGAUUACUUUUAAUUUAUAAAAAAAUAACUAUAUAAUCAGGUUGAUCCCUCCUUUUAGAUCUACAAGUGAGAAAUUUCAACUACCACUAAAGAUUUCAUCUUGCAAAAGGUAAAGUUUCCAUCUUUCUUUAUAUUGCUGAAGAACACGAAUCUACUCAGAACAAUCCUUUUGAUGUUUCUUCAUUGGCUUUGACCAAAUCAUUUCAACAGUGCCUUCUUCUUCUUCACUGAUCCAUAUUGUGUGUGCAAGUUCUUAUGUUGUGUUACAUUCGAAUGAGAUGAGGAGGGAUGCUAUCUGCCUUGAUGAACUUCCUCAAUGCCUGUCUCUGGCCCCACUCCGAUUCAGCCUCAGUUUCUUCUGGCGGCGGCGGCCGUCAAGAGGGUCUCUUGUGGUACAGAGACUCCGGUCAUCACGUCUUUGGUGACUUCUCCAUGGCCGUUGUUCAAGCCAACAACUUGCUCGAGGACCAGAGCCAGCUCGAGUCUGGCCCUCUUAGCACCAACGGCUCUGCUGGUCCUUACGGCACAUUUCUUGGCGUCUACGAUGGCCACGGCGGCCCUGAGACUUCCCGCUUCAUCAAUGAUCAUAUGUUCAACCAUCUCAAGAGUGAGUUACUGACUUGAAAACGUUUAAGAUCAUCAACUUAUUGCUUUAUACUCUUGUUCUUGAUGUUGCUUAUUAGGUAAUCUAUAGCUUCUUGUUUUAAAAAAAAAAAGGAAAUAAACAUUUUAUCAAAGGUAGUUACUAGUUAGUUAGUUAGCUUAACUAGAAAGGAUCCUGGCCAUUGUGUCAUAGGUCUCCAGUUUGAGUGACUGUCGGAACGAAAUUAAUAUUAUAUGAUAUAGGGGAUUACUGUACUUCCUGAUUUUAAAAACAAGAAGCUCUCUCACAAAAGAAACUAAAGAUUUUUAGUUUUGAUCUCAUUUGUUUAAAUCCUUGUGUGCACCCCACAGGAUUUGCUGCGGAGGAACAGUGUAUGUCACCGGAAGUGAUAAAGAAAGCCUUCCAAGCGACUGAAGAAGGCUUCCUAUCCAUAGUCACCAAUCAGUUCCAGACCAGGCCUCAAAUAGCCACCGUUGGCUCAUGCUGCCUUGUCACCGUCAUCUGCGACGGGACGCUCUACGUGGCCAACGCGGGUGACUCACGUGCCGUGCUGGGACAAGUCAUGAAGGCAACCGGCGAUGUUCACGCCACUCAGCUCUCGGAUGAGCACAAUGCGUCUAUAGAGUCAGUGCGAAGGGAGCUUCAGGCCCUGCAUCCGGACCAUCCGGAUAUAGUGGUUCUGAAGCAUAACGUUUGGAGAGUAAAAGGAAUCAUUCAGGUGAAAUAAAACACACGAAUGUUAUUUGUUUGUAUAUGUCUUACGUAUAGUUCUGAGAUUUGUAAUGGCAGGUUUCAAGAUCCAUUGGGGAUGUGUAUCUGAAACGGUCGGAGUUCAACAGGGAACCGCUGUACGCGAAAUUCAGACUGAGGGCACCGUUCAGCAGGCCGUUACUGAGUGCAGAGCCGGCGGUGACGGUGCAUAGGCUGAAGGAGCAGGACAAGUUUAUAAUAUGUGCGUCAGAUGGACUAUGGGAACAUAUGAGUAACCAAGAAGCAGUAGAGAUGGUGCAGAACCAUCCGCGUAACGUAAGAAUCAUGUUAAAUAGAAAAACAUAAGUUGUUGUUUUUUUUUUUAGGUAGUGAGUCUGUAGAGUGACAAACAAGUGUUGGCAGGGGAUAGCAAAGAGGCUGGUGAAAGUGGCGCUACAAGAAGCGGCGAAGAAGAGAGAGAUGAGAUACUCAGACCUGAAGAAGAUAGAGAGAGGGGUGCGAAGGCAUUUCCACGAUGAUAUAACGGUGAUUGUUGUGUUCUUGGAUGCAAAGCCUGGUGAGGUGAAAGGACCGGCGGUGUCAGUGAAAGGCGCGGGUGUGAGCAUUCCCAAGAAAACAUAGGCGCCUUGCUAGCUGCUACCAACACGCCCACUCUCAAGCUGCUUUGACUCCAACGUUUUAUGAUGACCAAAGAAGUGUAAACUAAUGAAUGAAUUAUUGUGAUUGAAAAAUGAAGUGGUAGUUUUGUUUCCUUUUGUUAGUGACUGGAGAAAGAAAGACACAAAAAAAAAAACAGAAUUAUUACUUUUGAAUAACGCUCUCUCUGUUUUCUUCUGUAAAAUCAAAGAUGAAGAUGGUUGCCAAAUCUCAUUCUUAUAUAGAUAGGACCGUUUACUUUUCGGUGAUGCCUUAUUAUGGUCUCAGUCAGAUUAUCAGUCUCCAUUUGGUGGGAUAUAUUUAAUUUUACUAAACAUAUUGACUCGUUUCUUGGUAAGCUGAAACCUAUUACUCAAAAAAGAGGAGAUUUAAUUUUUAGCUCUAAACAACAACAACAGCAUUAACCUUUGCUGCAGGUUAGAAAUGAAAAUGGACUUUGCCUUCCUCACUCUCUCUACUCAUAGGGAUUUCCUCAAGAUGAGAGCCAAUACGUAACAAAGAGCAGAGUCCACGGACGAUAGCGCAACAAUGAAGACAGCUACAAGAAAGAGACUCAGUGUGGCAGUCUUGAGCUGUUCCCCACCAAAACAAACAUAAAAAAAAAACAAAAAAAGUUAUGUAUGUAUGUAGUAACAAUCAAUCAAACAAAAGAAUAAGUGAUGGCAGACACAACAUAACAUACCGUGGUAGUAAAACUAGGCCACUCUAUAAAUUUCAGCUGGCUCGGCUGUUCAGCCAUAAAGGAGAAGAGCGAUCCCGUGCUCCUUUUUCAAGAACAAGAAAUGCAAUUCAAUGAAACCAACAUAUAUAUAUAGAGAUUGAUUAUUGUGUGAGAGAAGAGAAUAAAUUUUUGUAAAGCAUACCCUACAAUGUCCCUAACAAGGCUCAACCAUAAAGGGGGCUCUGGCUCAUCAUGUAAGUUCGUACUUUGGCGUGCGAAACAUACGGACACUGUGGGAUACCCACCCACAAUAGGCUUAUAGCUAACUCUCCCAUUGAGACUCUGCAAGACCAAUAACAUACACACAGGUUAUGUCAAUAUCUUGCCUGACAUGUUCAUUUUGUCUUUAGGAACAGAUGGAAAUUACCGAAUCCAGAGUAAACUUGGAGCUGCUAGGUCCGAACCUUUGAAUCCUCCGGUGUGACGGAUGAGCCAAUCGGAUUAAACCUAUUGGUUCAAACAAAACAAAAAUGAGGAACAAAAUUAAGAAGAAGCGGUCAAGUACUUAGUAUACAAGGAAAACACAGGACCGAAAAGUAACCUGAAGCAUUUGUGAGAGAUACCACCACCAUCCUCUCUCUCUCUCUGCAAACAAUGCGAAAAGGUAGCUCGGAAGAUGAUGGCCAAGCCAAGCUUUAGGUUUUAUGGGCUUUACCGUCGUGAAUUUUCAGUGGGCUUCAAAUACACAAGGCCUUUUGGAUUUUAUUUUCUAAUUAGUCCCAUCCAUUAAUUGUUCUUCAUUUGGGUUUAGUAUGAAAAUGCCUGGGAUCAGGAUAGUUUGUAGUUUGUACUGCUUUUUUUUUUCUUGUAAUGUUUCAUUCCCUUAUUUUUCCUGUCAAAGCCUAUUACAAGACAGACAUCCACCAGUCUCUAACUAAACGCUCUUUUUUUGUAGAGCAUUUGCUGUGUUAAUCUAGUGUACCUGUUGCUCAAAAAAAAAAAAAUCUAGUGUAUCUCUAUGUAUUGUAAUCCGUACAAGUGAUCAUCCUUGGUCCUCAUCAUCAUCAUCAUUAUCCUUCCUAAUCUCAACGUCGACAUCACUAUCCCCCUCCUCUUCUGCACUCUCAUCAUCAUCUGAACUCUCAUCAUCAGAAUCAUCUUCAUCUUCCUCCUCCUCGUCAUCAUCAUCACAAUCGGCCACAUAAUACCCGCGUGCAUGAUCAUCUCCCUCUUCAUCAUAAAACAUGAACCAACGAGAGUUACCAGAAACCGAGGCCUGUUUCCAGGACGCAACAUACAUACAAUUAGUUUAUCUUCCAAAACAGUAUUCAUUCCAUGACAUAUAAGAGAAUAGAAUUCCAUUACCUGUUCAGCAGUUCUAGGCGAACCGAGUUCCUCAGUUCCUCCAGGAGUCCAUAUUUUGAUGUCAGUCUCGAUUCCACUACUAGCCAUGAGUGGCAUGUGAGGAUGAGACUCUAUACAGUUGACAACAUGUUUAUCUGCUUCCAUGGCACGGAGAAGCUCUCCAUCUUUCUUCCUCCAAAUAAAUAUUCUGCCACAGUCCGAACCACUGACAACAUACUCACACUUGGGUCCAAAAAAGCCCACACCUUUGACUGUUUCCCGGUUACUGUGCUCUUUGUAAACCUGCGGCUGUAUCGUCUUCCUCACCUCAGUCUCAGUCUCAGUCUCAGUAUCAGUCUCAGAUGAAGAAGGGGGAUUCGGGCCCAUCCCCAUACCAGGGCUGAAAAGAUAGAUGAACUCGUCGGUAUAUGAAGCAAGGAGCUCGCUUUGAUCUGAGUAAGCCAGGCCUGUUAUUCCCACAUGGUCGCUUCCAAUCAAAUGAGCAGGACAAAAGUGGUCUACGGGUUCGGAAUAAUUAUACCAAGUCUCGGAGCGGUAGCUACGAAUGUCAUAGACACGAGCAUACUCAUCCAUUCCAGCCACGGCAAGAAGACCAGGGUUCCUCGGAUCAACUGCAAUUGCAUUCAAGUAGACAAUUAAAUUGUACUUUGCUUCUUUACAAGUGAAAAGAUUUGUAGCCACCCGUGUCCUAAGAUCAAACUGAGAAAAAAUGAUAUAUUGUCACAAAACAAACCAAAAGAAAAGAAAAAGUGAUGAUAAAAUGCAGCAACUCACAUGCUUUACAACGCCAUCCUCACCACAAGUGUAGAAUGAGAAAGGACUACCAGGCUCAAUAGCCAACUUGUGGACCUGUCCUUGAUGUAUACCCAACAUACAAGUCUCUACUUGUCCCGACUCUAGAAUUUUCGAAUAGCGAACCUGAGAGAGAUUGAAGGCUAUGAUCAGUAAAUAAACUCAAUUCACAUUAAUUAUGAAAAUGUACAAGUGCUGGUUUAUAUACAUGACUCUAUGUGGCUAACCAGAAGCCUUAACCGGAAACAAACUAUACCAACUGUACAGACUCAAAUGAAUCAAACUACACAUAUGCUAUGUACAAUGGAUAAUAGCUAUUUCACUUAGUGGGAAGCACACACACACACACAGCUACGCAAAGAAGAAGAAUAAAGAGAGGGUGGGGACCUGUCCAUCAGCAGAAGAGGUGACAAUGCUGCGAUCGUCAGAGAAAGGCAUGAACUUGGCUUGGAAAAUAUUGUUGCAAUGGCCAGAAUCGAAAGAGAGCUUGACAGUGGCAGUAUCCCAAUCCCAGAGUAUAACCUGCCUGUCAUCAGAACCAGACACAAGGAUAUCUCCAUCGGCAUUGAAGCUUACAGUGUUGACACAGCCCGUAUGCUCUUGGAGCUUCUUGUGGAGACCAAGUCGGUUUAAUAGAUGCUGGUUAAAAAAAAAAAACAAAUGAGUCAGUGAAAGUUGGUUUAUUCCGGUAAACAGAUACAAAGAGAAGAAUUGGGUAAACCGAUAACCAAUCAUCAGAACGCAGAACCAAUCUAAAUUCGUUGGGAUUCUAAUCACGUAACUGUCAAUGCCUAACAUGUUAAGGGAAACGAGAGACAGACCUCAGAGGCUGAGAAACGAUUGGAGAAACUACGAUUGGGCAGCUGACCCAGCUCCCUUUCCCAGAUUCUCACCACGGUAUGGUCGCUGCUUCUCUGUCUUUUGCUCGGCCGUCUACUCAUCUUGAUUACUGCUUCUGCGUCGGAGCACGCGACGGAGAAAGAAAGAGAGAUUGAACGGAAGAGAGAGAGGAUGGUUGUGAAAAUUUCACCCACAAAGGGGGAUCCACUCUUAUUUAUAAAUCAUUAAAAGCCCAAACCCAACAUACAAAUGGAACCAAAGCCCAAUAAUAUUGAAGCCCAGACGUUAUAGCCCAUUAAAUAUGAGAUUACGAAAAGACGUACAUGUGAAAAACUAGACCGAACCCAAAAACUCGUUCUGAUUAAAAAAAUGAAUCCGAAACAAUCUGAACCGAUUUAAAUACCAGUAGAUCUUAUAGUAUUUGGGGUUAUGAAUUUUAUCUGAACCUAAAUGAAUGAAUAUCUGAUAGAACCCGAAAAAGAUUUAUACCAAAUAUGAUCUCACUUUAUAAUAUGUAUCUAAAAUACACUAAAAUAUUAUUGAACAUCUCAAAUAAUUAUAUAUUACAUAAAUAAUUGACUCAAAUACUUGGUUGCUAUUACAUAAAUAAUUGAUUCAAAUAUUUGGUUGCUAACUGUUAAGUUUAAUUUUAACUGCUAACUGUUAAUACAGUACGGUGAUGUUGUUAUUAUAGUUCAAAAAAGAGUCUCGGUUGAUAGAUGAGGCUCCCAAAAUUAUUAUUUUUUAAAUAAGAUAAUUUGAGAAGGUCAUGUAGAUAAUCAAUAUUUUUAGAAUCAAUAACCUGAUUAAUAUCCAAAACAGAAAUUAAUCCGAUAUUGAACAUGUAACUAAACCAGACCUUACAAACUAAACCAAACUAGAUCCGACUAAAUCCAAACCGAAACCCGAUUGAUAGUCCAAUUGCCCAGCUCUAUGUAAACAAAGGGGUCAAUUCCGUUUUUUUUGGAGCGCUCAAAGGUCAACCCAAUACAUAUUAAACAUUUCUUCUUAACCCAACCAAAAAAAUAUAAAGGAAGGAAGAGGUUAAUGUUUCUAACCACUGCAGAUUUACUUGUACAUGAAGUUUUCUUUCAUCAACAACCUAAACUGUUGGAUGGAAUGGACAAUAUGGGUGUGUGUGGGGUAAUUAUAACUUACAGAAAGGAACAAAAUCAAUUGAGAAGGUAAGCAACACAAGAACUCCGUAAAUCAGUCUUUUUGGAAGCAAGUAGUACUAGGUGGGAUCAAUGCAAUUUAUUCAAUGAUGUGUUGCACUUCUCCUGAGGGCCGCAAAGAUACCCCCUCCUCCUCCUGUUGGUGAUCUUUUCUUCUCCUCUUCCUCUUCUUCUACCUACCACAACACACACACAUACACAUUCAAUUUUCUUAUAUCAUUACUCUCCCCCACAUUUCAUUCUCUCUCUUUACUUACUUCCUUGGCUAUCACUUGUAGCUGCUCUAUUAUCUCUGAGAAGUCUGGUCUCAGCGUUGGAUCCUUCUCCCACAAUCUAUCCAUUAGCUCUCUCAUUUUCGGAUGCGUUUUCUUCGGGAUCGUAGGCCGUAGUCCCUGAACCACCGACCCCCACAACUACGUUUUAGCUUUACAAGCAAUAAAUUCAUUCUACAUAAAGAAAAGAAAACGAUUUACCUUCUGAACCACCCCUACUGCUGCCUGCAAUGGCGUCAUGUAUUCAUAUGGAAUCUGCCAUCACAUCAAACCCAAUGACUUAGUUAGCCUAACACUGAGAUGAUAUUUUAAUUGUCAGAUGAGAAAAGACUUGUAUAAACCACAUACCUUGCCAGUCAACAACUCCCAUAGCACAAUCCCGUAGCUGAAAACGUCUGCCUUGUGAUCAUAUGGCUUGUGUUCUAUCACCUCCGGAGCCAUCCAGCGAUAUGUUCCCGUUUCAGCUGUCAUCACUCCAGUUUGUGCUUUUACUCUAGCUACCCCAAAGUCAGCAACCUUGACAACCUGUAGUAACAAACAAAAUAAUCCACACACCACUAUGAAUCCGACAACCAUUCUGUAGAACACAAUGAUAUAGCAUAUGUGAUGCAGCCCAAAUUAUGUAGCGUGUAAGCUUGGCCCAAAUGCCAAUUCAUACAUUCGCACUGCAAGCUACGUGCAGAGAGAGAAUCACGAUAAAAACUACGUUGAGAAUAUUACCUCAUGCUCGUCCAUUAGAAGGUUGGCAGCCUUCAAAUCUCUGUGAAUUAUAUUAUUUUGGUGUAAGUAGUUCAUCCCUUUGCAGAUAUCUAUAGCUACUUUUAACAAAGCUGGAAGCUUAAAGACGCCCUUUUGCUUGUGUAGAUAGUCAUAUACACUUCCACCGGGCAUGAAUUCUAUUAAAUGAGAAAGAGACAAAUGAGGGGAACAAUAAUAAUAACAAUAAUAAGACCAGAUCAUUAUAUAAUGGUCAGUGCAACAUACCUGUAACAAUACACAGAUGGGGUGGCUUAGUGCAAGCACCAAUGAACUGGACGACGUUUUUGUGCCGCACUUUCCUGCAAACGGAAAGAUUUUGAAUGAGUCUGAGAUGCUAUUGUUCAUAUGCACACAAGUUCACAAGGGAAGGCACACAAACCUCAUAAUAAAGACUUCUUGGGCAAACUCUUUCUCUAGCUCAGAAUCUAGACGCUCUGGCUUGAGGACUUUGAUAGCGACUUCCUGGCUACAAUAUGUACCUUUAUACCUGAAUAACACAAAAGGUAAGGAGAAAGAGGGCGAGAGAUAUUAACUUCUAAGCAUAUGAAAUGACAUUACAUUUGAUAGGUGGAACCAACUUACAGAUCUCCGUAAGAACCGGAUGCUAUUUUAUGCCCGAAUUUUAACUGUUGAAGGUUGAUUUCCCAAACAUCAGUUCCAUCAGUGGGUAUUGCGACCGUCCUGGCACCUGUUUGUCCGUUUUCCUUUUCAGGAGAGAAGGAUUGCUGCAUAGGCCAGCUUUGGUCCUGCAAUUGAGUGUAGUGAAAAAAUCAUUAAUAACUUAGAAAAAGACAUGACAUGAUUGUGAAGAUGUUGUCACUAAUAAAAACUGCAAGACUCCAUAUAUGACACCAAACUCCAUUUUUUUUUCAGAAUUAAUUAAACAUAGUCAUCAUCAAUAUAUAUAUUUUGCACGAAAGUAGUUAAAUUGGCAACAAGUACCUCGAUUUUUGCUGCUUCUUUCUCCAAUGCUAUUCUAAGUCUGUCUACUUCCUGUAUAAUUAUAAAAAUGCAGCAACGGUUGUUAACUCGGGACCUUUCUCUUUAUAAUGAAUGAACAUGCCAACACGCAUCUGUUCUAUAGAGCAUGGAUCAUAUAGUACACUACACGAUAGCAUUGCAAUAGGGAAGGAAAAAGGAGAACAACUAGAAGAAAAACAAAAAAAGUACUACCUCGUAAGGCCAACCAUCAACGACAAAGACAUCUAGAGAGAAACCAUCAGUUGUAGAAAAAGCAUGCGCCUCUUGAAUGUUGAGUCCAAGCUCAGCAAGCAAUGCAGUUAACUGCAUCAUUUACACUGGAUAUAGUAAGCAUCGACGAAUCAAAAUAAUCACAAAAGCCAACAAUCACACAGAUCAUAUAUAUACCUGAAAAAGGAGUUUAGGCUUGUCUAUUGUGGAGAAAGUUAUCUCAUGCAAGGGCCUGCGUUUCAAUUAACAAGCGGGAGUGAGUUGGUAACUGCGCCAAAUCAACAACACAUAUAAACUUCCUUACACAUACCGUGAAUUGUUAGGCACAGAGGAGUCUCCCUCCUCCUCGUCAUGGGAUAUAGUGGAAGCAAGUGCAAGUGCUUCAAGAUUGGGAGAUGAACCAAAUGCAGGCGGCGGAUGAAUGCUGCAAAAAAAUUAAAAAAAAAAAAAAAAUCAGAGAGAGAGAGUCGAGUACACACUUUGAUUAUCGUUAUGUGGAUCAAAAGGCAACCUUUUUCUGGUAGAAGCUUGAUCAGGUUCAUUGGUACGAAGAGAGUCCAAGGAAAUGGAGUCAGCUGAGAUAUUCCCCGUAGGAGGUUGAACCUUUAAGAAAAGAUGAGUCACCAAACAUCCUGUGAGCCCAAAAAAGUUCACAGAGGCAAAACAAUAAAAAUAAAUAAAAAUAACAAACAACAAACUCACCUGGACGAGACGGACUUGGAUAACAGGUCUGUUGUUUGGAUCAAGAGCGGAGUGAAGAAGUCUCUGGUGCAUGAGAACGUCUUCUGCUCUCUCUACAUUCACAUCCAAAGCAUAUCUAAAAAACAAGAUAAACAAUGAGCCUAACCUAAUUAAGGCGGGCACAUACAUGCAGAAGCAGAUCAUAAACAAUGUAUAAUGAUUACCGAGCGGGGAGGCGAUUGAAGUGAGCCCAGAGGUCGUCGACGAAACCAGGGAGAUGGGUGUCUACGGUGUCAGAUUGACGGAGACGGCUGAUAACCUCAUCGAAAACCUCCGUUUUCAUGCGCUCGCGACGGUCGAUGGCAGCCUGCGACGUCGGUAAGAUAUCGCUAAUCCCUCUACUUCCGCAGCUCUCGUUGUCCUCCAUCACCACCAUUGACCACCAGAGGGAAAAUAAAAAGUGGUUCCAACAGAAAAAAGGAAAGUUUAAAGAUGGAAUAGAAUCACCGUUUGAAUUUGAUCCAACACAGAGAUGAAGAUGCGAGGAUCUCUAGAAAAAAAAAUAUUCAAAUUGUAAAGAGGAAAGAAGAGAGAGAAGAGACGAUCAGAAAUUCAGAAUUGAGGAGGGAUUAUUAUGAGAGUUUUUUUUUUGUAACGUUUUAUCUUCUUCUUCCGCAAUUGUGUUUCGUUGCUUUUUUGUUUGGGGGGGGGGGUGUAUAAAACGACACCGUAGUGCGCAGCGGAUGACUCAUGCCGCCGUGGCGAUGCUGAUCUAUUUUAAUCGCUGAGGGGUAUUAAUGGAAUUUCGUCCGUUUUCUUAAUUACCAAGUCGACGAGUAAUUAGAAGGAGAUCUCCCCAUUUGUCCCCCUGAUUACGCCCUUUUGCGUUACUGUCUCUGACCCCACCUCCCUCCCUCCCUCCUCCAUUGGCAUAUUCCACAUGAGCCCACAGUUAUCCGGAUCAGGUUCUUCUCGCCUAUUACUACUUUUUAACGUUAUUUCUCUUUCAUUUCUUUUUGGUAAAAUGUUAAAUAAUAUCUUUUUUUUUGUCCACAUCUCCUGGUCUAAAUAUGUUUAUCCCAAUCCAAAGUAUUUAUCUAAAUUUGAACCGAAAAACCGAAACCGAUCCAGACUAUUAUACACAAAUAUCCAAACGGAACUUAUGAAUUUAGUAUUUUGGAGUUUGGUUAUAAGCCAAACCGAAAUCCAAACUAGGAUCCGAAGAUAUCCGAAAUUAGUUAAAUAUGUUAAUGUUUUUUAUAUAUUAAGGUGAUUUAGAUAUUUCAGAGUAUUCAAAAUAUUUUUGUAGUUUGUUUUAUUUGUUAUUUAAAUUUUUUUAAUUAAUUUAGAUAGUUUAGCUAAUUUUUAAUUAGAUUUGUGAAUAAUUUCUAAAUUUUGAAAAAAAAAAUAUUGUCAUCAUAUGAGAUUUGAAAAAUAUAUUUUUGGACGAUUUCAAAUAUUGGUUACAAUCCGAUCCGAACCGAACUUGGAAGGAACCGAGCCGAACCUGAUCUUAUAGUUAGUAAAACCUGAACGGGACUUUUAAGCAUAAUACCGAAAAUCUGAAUCAAUCGAACCGAAACACGAUGAAGGUUUCGAACGCCCAUACCUAAACAUCUCCGUUUUCUUAUUUAUCAGUUUAGUCCCUUUUACUUUCCUCAAUCGAUUAAACACCCUUCAAUUUCUCUAUUUGGGACAUAAUAUAGCCAAUAGUUUACCUAUGUGUCUUAUGUAUAUAUGGACGUCAUAUAAUUGACUUGACGAUUGUAUUCAUUUAGUGGACUUUUCUCGUUUGGGAUAAUGUUAUUUUCACUCGAAAUGCUGCAUUUUGUGUUUGUGACACGUAAAAACUGACACCCACAUAUCAAAGAUAAAUAGGGCCCAAAUAUAUCAACAGUCUCAGUCGCAUGUGACUACUCCCUAGUCCCUCGUGUUUGGAGGCAUUGUACUCUCGACCAACAUCGUAAGUUAUAUAACUUCUCCCUAAUUAACCUAAAGCUUAAUUAUAUUCAUUCAUCAAGCUGAGCUUUUCCAAUGCAUCAUUCGUUUGAUUAGCAAUGCAUAUGUAUAUGAAUGAAGUUUGAAACACAAAUUCACACACAUGUGGUUAAUCUGGAUAUGAUUAAGCAAAUACACACAUAAUUUUCGAUUUACGGGAACGAAUAACUGAAUAUAUAUAGUAUAUCAGUCGUUUCUUCGGUGACCUAUAUAUAUAUAUUGUUAGUUACAAAAUGUGGUGUGCUCUUGUUAGUUACAAAAUAAACCUUAACAUAAUAUGGGGUAGAACGUGGUGUGCUCUUGUUAGUUACAAAAUUUUGUAUAUAUAUGGUCUAACAAAAAUGCAUUCCGUAUUUUCUUUGAGAUGAAGUAUAAUCGAAAACUAUAAGUAAAGACGCAUUUUGUGUUGACCCAAAAAAUCAUGCAUACUAGUAUAUAUAAAAAUAAUAUCGCACAGUGGAGAUAUAUGCAACACUUACAUUUAUAUUUAUUAUUCUCAGAAAAAAAAUUACUUACAUUUAUAGCAUUUUUAAUGAAUAAACGCACGCAUAUCACGAUUAUUAAGCAGCUAGUAGUAAUUAACGUCGAACGAGUUUGGUCAAAAUGGGAGUGAUCAAAGGUACAUUUAAGUUUUCUCAUCAAUGAUACACGAUUACUGAUUAUUUAAUUUAACAAGAAAAUCAAAUAUUGUGAAAUGAGAUUUGUAUUAAAAUUAGUCCAUGUUGAUGAUCAACAGGAAAUGAAGGAGUUGACCAGAGAGAGAGACUAAGGGCCUGACUGGUUCAAACGCAGCGGUUGCGGUUGCGGGCGUUUACGGAUGCGGGUGGUUGCGGGUUUUAGCUGUUUUAAGAGAUUUGUACGACUGGUUCUGCGGUUAGAAAUUGGUGCGUUUGCGGGAUACUUAUGACUGGUUAACUACCAAAUACAACAGCGGUUAAAUAAUAAAUUAACAAUAUUUACAUUUUACAUAAUUAUAAAAAUAUCAAAAAUCAUAAUAUUAUAAUAAAUAUGUAAAUUAUAUUUUCAAAGUUAUAGUUUUAAAUUUUUAAAAUUAUAGAAAAUAUUUUUAUUUUAAAAUUUUAUAAUAUUAAUUAAAAUAUAAUAGAUAUAUUUUAGUAUUUUUAUAAUUCCAUUUUAAAAAAUUUAUUGAAUAUUUUUAUUUUUGUAUUUAUAUGAUUUUUAAAAAAAAGAAAAAAAAUUUAUCCUCCCGCAACCGCCCGCAACCGCAAACGCUAGCUGGAACCAGCUUUUGAAUUUAAGAGGUUCGGAGCGGUUUGAAGCGAUUUGUAGCGGUUUAUAUGAUUGUUUCGAAACGCUGUCAACCGCUACCAACCGCAAAAGCUGCGUUUGCGGGUGGUAGCGGGGAAACCAAUCAAGCUCUAAAGAUGCGGCAGCC
rnacentral:lncRNA from 1 species